AUUACAAUAUUUCUACACAGUAUAAAAUAUAGUUUAUUAUGAAUAUGGAUGGCAAUAUUCUUUUUUUCUUACUUCACUUGCUUUUUAUCUCAAACAUUAACCGCUCGAGAAAUUACCACUUAAGCAUGAUGCAACACUUCCGUUGGCCAUGUAGGGAUAAACGAGCAGGUUCUCUUGUUGUGUAACGCAAACGCCAAUUAAUGGGAGUAAAUUUGGAUGCACAUUAACAAUGCUCAUCGUUUCAACUUCUGUUUUCAAAUGCUGCAAAUCUGUAGGUGAGAUGUCUCGUAACUGUUUUAUAGGAAAAAUAGAAUAGGAGAAAGAGAGAAAUAAUAAUAUUACGUAAUCCCAUUAUGUUAUGGGUUGAUUACAUGUAAUAUAUAGAGAAAUAAUACGAGGUAAUAGAGUUUGACUAGGUAACUAAAUCCUAACUAAUCUAGGUAACCGAAUCAUAAUAGAAUCCUAAUAUUCUAUAAUAUCUAACAAUAUAAUAUACUCUAACACGCCCCCGCAGUCGAAACGUGACGAAUGUGAAGACUGGACAAUCACUUGCUAGCACGCUCACGCAGUCGGGACGAAUAAGCUUCAAAAGUGAAGACUGGACAAAAACCGCAAAACACAACGCUAGAGAAUUUCUCUGUGGAAAUAUCUGUCCAAUUGAUAAAAUAAUAAUAAUAAUAAUAAUAAUAAUAAUAAUAAUAAUAAUAAUAAUAAUAAUAAUAAUAAUAAUAAUAAUAAUAAUAAUAAUAAUAAUAAUAAUAAUAAUAAUAAUAAUAAUAAUAAUAAUAAUAAUAAUAAUAAACGGGUGAAAAGUUUUUUUUUUUUUUUUGUGUAUGAUUCGAGAGAGAGAGAAGAUAUAAAAGCGGAAAAAGAAUAAUUAAAAGAAGAAUAGAGAUGAGAAAGAGAGAAAGGAGAUUAACCAACUAAGAAGAAAAAGAUGUCGGAAAGAAAAAAAAAUAUAAGUUACCACCAUCGGGGGAGGGAGGAAAUUGGUUUAGUGGUCGCCGGCCAUGGAGAAGAAGAGAGGCGGCGGCUAGGUUUUAGGCCAUGGAGAAGAAGAAAGGCGGCAGCUAGGUUUUAGGCCAUGGAGAAGAAAAGAGGAAGAAGAAGAAGAAAGAGAGAAGAUGCACCACCGGGGAGGGAGAAAAUCCGGGUGGUGUUCAUAGAAGAUAGAAAAGAAAGGGAGAAAAUUCGGGUGGUGUUCAUAGAAGAUAGAAAAGAAAAAGAUAAAUAUUAGAGUACCACCACUGAGGAAGAAAGGCGGCUAGGUUUUCACCGCCAUGGAGAAGGAAGGCGGCUAGGUUAAAAAACCUAAAUCUGGUGCUCUGAUACCAUAUAGAAAUAAUAGAAUAAAGAGCCCGCAUGGGUGUAGCUCAACUGGUUCCGGAGGUGGUAAGUUGGUGUAAGGUCCUAGGAUCGAAUCCUGGCAGCCGCAGUGUGGGAAUUUCAACUCCAAAUGAGGGUUGGUUCCUUGUGGGCACUAGGUCCGGGUCCGCUACCUUAACGGGCCGUUGAGUUAACCAUGAUUUACAUCCUCCAUCAAUCCUUGUCGGACCAAGGAAUGGGGGUCCGUUACCUUAACGGGCCGUUGAGUUACCAUGAUUUACAUCCUCCAUCAAUCCUUGUCGGGCCAAGGGAUGGGGGCCCUUGGGGCGAGGGAUUCGCCUUUUGGUGUAAGAAUAGAAUAAAGAGAUAGAGAGAAAUAAUAAUACGUAAUAUAAUAGAAACCCCAUUAUGUUAUGGGUUGAUUACAUGGAAUAUAUAGAGAAAUAUUGUAAGGUAAUAGAAUUUGACUAGGUAACUAAAUCCUAACUAAUCUAGGUAAUCGAAUCAUAAUAAAAUCCUAAUAUUCUAUAAUACUCCCUCCGUCCCAUUUUAAAUGUCGUUUUUUGUGGUUACGCGUAGAUUAAGAUAGUCAAUAAAUAUGUAUAGAUUAUACCAAAAAUAGCAUAGUAAAUACUAAAAUACCCUUGUUAUUAAUUAUUUUUUAAUUAACUAAUUAAGAGUGAUAAGGGGCAAAAUUGAUAAAAAUGCAAUUAAUACCAUAUUGAAACUCUAAAAUGACAAAUAAUUUGGGACAAAAAAAACACUCCAAAAAGACAUAUAAUAAGGGACAGAGGGAGUAUCUAAUAAUAUAAUAUACUCUACCAUGUUUAUAUCUUUUAACCGCCACUAGAAUGCCAUUUGCUAACCGGCCUUUGUAGGAACUUAUACCAUAUUGAUCUUUAGAUAAGAUAUUUCUAUUCGAAAAGUUAUCUGUUACAAUCUCCAAUUCGUCUAGAGAAAAUUUGCUAACUCCUGCAUACAAGCGCCCAUUGAAUCACCAAUUAAAAUACAAAACAAGUAAUGUGGGAACAUUAUAUAUAUAUAUAUAUAUAUAUAUAUAUAUAUAUAUAUAUAUAUAUAUAUAUAUAUAUAUAUGUAUAUAUAUAUAUGGUAAAUAGCACUUAAACCCCCCCUUGGUUACAAGCUUACCUCCUUGUGCUAGUAACAUCAGCACAUAAUCCCAUUGUAGUUGAUGGUGGUAACUUCCGUUAGUUUUUCCGUCAAACUUAAUUGUAUGUGUCACGUCAAAGUAUUUUUUUUUGCAGAUGAUCCCCAUGUGCUUUUAUUUCUGCAGAUGACCCCCUUCAAAUUUGACACACGCGGUUAAGUUUGACAGAAAAACUACCGGCAGUUACCCCCAUCAACCACAAGGGAGUUAUGUGCUGAUAUUACGAGCACAACGGACAUGGGAAAAAGCUUGUAGGAACAUACUAGCAAUUAGAUUACCUGUAAACAAGUAAUGUAAUUUAAAUCCACAUUUAGAAAACUAACCGGCAGGAAUAUUAAUGAUAUGAUGUUUUUGCCGUGGUUUCUUUCCUUUGUACCAAUUAGCAGGAAAUAGCUUUCGUGUGAUAUUGGCUCCACCGGAUUUCUUGCCAACUGGAAUAAGCAACAAACAGCCAAAUGUUAUUCAUUAAAUUUUAUUUGAAAUUCCAAAUUAUAGUGGGGAAAGCCCACUAUAAAAAAAAAUGUGAAUUACAAAAAUAUUAAGGCAUCGUUUGGCUGAGGAGAUUAGCUAUUAUUUACUAAAUAAUUGGACUUUGUCUGAUGUUUAGUAUCACAAUAAAUUAUCAGACCGAUCCGUAAAUAUUAUGCUAUCACGACUUACCUUUCUUAUCUUGCCUUUCAGAGAGUUUUUUCUUUAUUUUUUUUUUAGAAAUUCUGUGGUCCUAUUUUUAACCGGGUUUAAUUCACCAAAACAUUAAAUAAAUUAGGAACCUGGAGAGACAGUAGGCGGGUUAUUAAGUUGCAGUGGAGGUGGCCGAGAUACAGAUGUAGCUACUGCCCAUCUUUUACUCCUGAAAAUUAUUGAAUAAAUAGUCCUCAUUUUUUAAUGCAAUCAAAGAUCUCCGCUUUCCAAUUAAAAAAAAAGAAAAAUGAAUAAUAAUAAAUUACUCGAGAAAUUGUUCGUUGAAACGAUCAUCGUCAUCCACUGAUGAAGCGACGGUGCUGAUAGAGUGAGAGUGGAAUAGUUCCCAAAUCUGCUGCUUCCGUACAACCGCUGUCACUAACCUCUCCCAAUUAUCCCUAGAUGAGUACAUCUCUCUAAUCUCUCUCUCUCUCUAAACUUUUCUCUCUCUAGCUUACGAUCACAAUAUAGAAUUAACUAUAUAAUAUGAAUUUUUUCAGAUUUGAUUAAUAUGUUUAAAAUGUUGUUUCGCUGAAAUUGUGUGGAAAGAGAGGAGAAACGCGUUUUCCCCACAUCAUAGUCAAGCAGAGUGGGACUACUCAUUUACUGAAUGACAUGUCUUUGCAUUGUCACAGUUGAUCUUUAUUCUUUUCCUUUUUCCUCUUUUAUUUACAUUCAAUAGAUCAACUGAAUCGGCAACGCCCAUGAUUUUUUUUCCUUUUUUUUUUUUGUUUUUUUUUUUGGGUUAAAUACAAAAACACCCUUGUACUAUGGACUUGGUAUCAUAUAUCCCCUAAACUACACAUAAAUACAAAAACCCCCCUACUGUUAUAUAUUUUUCAAAAUUUGACGACCCCUGCUUAGCCUAUAAAUAUAAGGGUUUGUUUGAGCCAUUUUCCACUAUAUUUUUUUAACAUUUUCGGUCAAUUUUACUUGGGAAAUUUAAAUAUUUUUUAUUUUUUUCUCCAAAACAUUUAACUACUUAGAUAUAUUUUUUUUAAAUUUUCUGAAUAAAACCUUUUUAUUUUUGUCAUUUUGAAUUUCUUCAUUUUUUUCUUAAAUGUCUUCCGGUAGUUCAAAUUCUCAACAAUCAUAGUAUUGUAAAGAUGGUUGUAAUCUUAGGAUGUUUGAACUACCAGAACACAUUUAAGAAGAAAAAAAAUGAAGAAACUCAAAAUAACAAAAAUAAAAGGUUUUAUUCCGAAAAUAAAAAAAAAUCUAAGCAAAUAGAUGUUUUAGAGAAAAAAAUAUGAAUACCAAAAUUUUCAACGUAAAAUUGACUGAAAAUGGCUCAACAUAUAUAUAUAUAUAUAUAUAUAUAUAUAUAUAUAUAUAUAUAUAUAUAUAUAUAUGUGUGUGUGUGUGUGUGUGUGUGUGUGGUAAAAUAUAUAUACUUGAGUAGGGGUAUUUUUGUCAUAUUUUGAAAAAAUGUAAUGUGAGGGGAGUUUUUGUAUUUAUGUGUAGUGCAGGGGGGUGUAUGAUACAAAAUUGAUAGUACAGAGGUGUUUUUGUAUUUAACCCUUUUUUUUCCAGCUAUUCAAUCAACACAGUAAUAGUUAGUAAAGUAUGAUCUUAACCAACAGAGUAAAAUAUCCAGAAAAGAAAAAUGGAAAAAAAAAAGCCGCAGCUAUUUGAAAUACUAAUUCCAAUAAGGAGACGAUCAAAUUGAAUUUUUCAAUGUAAAUACUAUCUUACAAAGAGAACAAGUAUGAAAUUAAAAGACAUCAAAAUGACAAUUAAAAGACAUCAAAAUGACAGUAUGCAUUAAUGUCUAUUUUUUAGCUAGGUGACCAUAGUUAUAGAUUCCAACAGUUUACCAAAGAACCAACACAACUAAUAUAAGAAAAAAAAAAUUGGGUAAAAUCCCCUAUAGUUACAAACUUUUGCAGAUGACCCCCUUUUGUUCGUAAUAUCAAAAUAGGGUAAAUAAUACUUAACCCCUUGUGGCUACCAGCUUUUGCAUAUGAUUACAUUGGGCUUAUAAUAUGAGAGCAUACCCCAUUGCGGUUGAUGGGAGUAGCUUUCGUUAGUUUUUUUGUCAAAAAAUUAACCGUCUGUGUAGAACGUUAAUUUUAACGCAGAAACUAAGGGACGAUACCCCUAUUAACCACGAGGGAGCUAUGUGCUAAUAUUACGAGCACAAGUGGGUCAUGUACAAAAGCUUGUAACGACAAGAGGUGGGUAGGUAGAACAAUAAGAUUUCUAUUUCUAAAUAUCAGGACUAGAGAAUAAAACGUACCAUGUAAAGUGAACCGUAGAACUUUAUUUAUGGUGUGAUUAGUAGAAUCCUUAUUAGAGUAUAACUCUAAAUAGGAUUAGUAAACCCUAAUGGACUUUUAAGAUCUUGUUAAUGGAAUUAAGCCAUCAGUUAAUGACUAUGUAAGGUGGAUCUCGGGCCUUUUAGAUGGUCCAAAUACUUUUUGGCUUAUUGUGCCGGUCCAACAAGAUAUAUCAUUUAUCCUAUAUCUUUUUAGGGUAAAUAGCACUUAACCCCUCCUGUAGUUACAACCUUUUGCAGAUGACCCCUUGUGCUCUUAAUAUCAACACAUAAUCCCCUUGUGGUUAAGGGAGUAACUUUCGUUAGUUUUUCCAUCAAACUUAACCACAUGUGUCUAAGGUGAAAGUAUAUAUUUUUUGUUUGCAGAUGAGCCCUCUUUGCUUACAUUUUCCCUUUCAUUUUUGCAGAUGGCUCCCUUAAAGUUUGAAACAUGCGGUUAAGUUUGACGGGAAAACCGACAAAAGCUACCCCUUAGACCACAUUGAUCAAUUCAACAAUGAUCCCCGUAUCCCAACUUUCAUUGAUAGUAAGCCAUCUCCGUAGUAUUAUCCUCACAAUAUCCGACAUAUUGGGUCGUCUCUCCGGGUUGUAUUGUUUGCAGAGCAGAGCUAUUUGAAUCAAUUGCUCCACUUCUUCUUCAAUGUAAUAAUUAUUACCUCCAAAAUCGGGAUCAACAAUCCUCUCCCAUUCCUUCUCCUUUACGUGUGUCUUUACCUGACAUAUAUUAUUGGAGAAGCUCUUAGUUAGUUGUUAAGGCGAUCGAAUAUUACAGCAUACUUUACGAGGCAAUUAUUAAUUAUAUAUAUGUACAUAUGCUCUCACCCUAUCAAGUAACAUCACAUCUUCGUCAUUAGCAAGCCUACCAAGAUCAAAAGCUCUUUGCCCUGUGAUGAGCUCAAGAAGGAAAAUACCAUAACCAUAAACAUCACUUUUCUCUGAACAAAUUAACCUAGAGAAAUAUUCAGGAGCUAUAUGACCAAUUGGUCCAUGUGUGUGGCCAGCUCAAAGUUACCAAUAAUUGCUUCAAAGUCCUCGUUCAAAUAUAUAUUUACAGCAUUGACGUCACGAUGGAUGAUUUUACGUUCAAAUCCAUAGUGCAAUAGGCUAGACCCUUUGCAGCCCCGAAUGCUAUCUGUUUUCUUAUUUGCCAAUCAAGUGGAGGUUGCGACUCCGGUCGAUCUGCAACAACACCAUUUACUCUAUAAGAUUCUUUUAGGGGAUUAAUUAUAAUAUUUCUACAUAAUAUAAAAUAUAGUUUAUUAUGAAUAUGCAUGGCGAAUAUUAUUUUUCUUACUUCAGUUGCUUAUUAUCUUAAACAUUAACUAACGGCUCGAGAAAUAAUUACCUCUUAAAAAUGAUACAACGCUUCCGUUGGCCAUGUAUGGAUGAACGAGAAUCUUUUCUUUUUUCGUUACGCAGAUACCAAUUAAUCGGAGUAAAUUUGGAUGCGCGUUAACAAUGCUCAUCGUUUCAAAUUCUGUUUCGAAUUGCUUUCGAAAUUGGAGUAACUGUUCAUAUCUUUUAAUGGCCACUAGAAUGCCAUUCGCUAACCGGCCUUUGUACAACUCCGCAAAUCCGAAUCUAAAAAGGAUAUUUCUAUCUGCAAAGUUAUCUGUUGCAAUCUUCAAUUCCUUUAGAGAAAAUGUUCGAACUCCUGCACACAAGCCCAUUGCAUCACCAAUUAAAAUACAAUGCAAGUAAUGUAGGACGAAGGAACAUAUUAGCAAUUAGAUUACCUAUAAAAAAAAGUAAUGCAAUUUCAAUCCACAUUUAGAAGACUAAUAGAACUAAAGUUGUGUUUUUGUACAACUUAUAAAGCAUAGGAAUUUAUGUAAUAGAACUAAAGUUGUGUUUGUACAACAUAGCAACUUAUAUCUGCAUUAGAUAAAAAUGCUAUGUAGAUAUAAAUAUUAGUUAGUUUUAUAGUAUGGUAUAUAUGAGUAAAGUGCAAUUACCUCCUCUAUGUAAUCUUGAUAUGCUAAAAAAGCUCCUAUCAAAUAAAAACUAGCAAAAACUCCCUUAUGAUCUUGUUUAAAUAGAACACUUAAAACUCUUUUACCAUUUACGCAUUGACCAGGCGGGAAUGUUGGUCCCGAUACAUAAAACGGGUAGUGAAUUUAGUAAAUUGGUUGAACAAAUUAAUUAGUGAAAAUACGAAAAGAUUAGCCGAGGCGAGUUGACUAUGUCCUUAAGACGAAAUUUCCCCGCAACGGUGCUAACGGAUUAAAUGGAAAUCGUCUCCCAAGAUACAACAGCAAAACUUGGAAUAAGAGCACUCCAAAUCCCAAGUACGACGAACUGUACUUUGUGUAGAACUUUUCGAGAGAAUCUGUGAAGGGUAGGCUUAAUAUGUAGUAGUAGGCUUGUUUUUGGAUUGAAGUGAGGAAUUGUGGGAAAGUUAGGGUCUAUUUAUAAGGUUCGAAAAGUAGUGUCCUUUUGGAGUAAAAAGGUACCUUUUGUUUGAAUGGUUGCACCAUUUCAAAUUGAGCCAAUUGGGAGUGGUUGCACCAUUUCGAGUUGAGCCGAAUGGUUUGCAUUGGUUCGGCCGCACCAAUUCAAACCAGUCAGACAAUCGAGAUGGGCUUCGAGUAAUAAGGGCCCAAUGGGUUAAAAGCCCAUGAUCUAAUGUUUUUGGCCCGUCCCAAUAAUUUGAUAUAUAUACAGCUCAGUACUUCUCUACUUUUCCAAUGUGGGAUAACUCAAAAUCCCGCUUUCCUUAUAUUUUGGACUAGUAAUUUUUUUCAUUCACCACAAAAUUGGUUCUAAUCCAAAAUUCAUUAUAUACUCAAUUAGACGGUACAAUAACAUUGAUAAAAAAAUGUUCAUGACUCAAUUUUUAACCAAUUUUCCCAACAAUCCCCCACAUGAAUGAAAACGAGGGCGUCGAUUCUCUCUAGAGUUCCCGCGAAUAGUAUUGCAUCGGGAUAGGUAGCAUAUAGCUUUGAACCUUCCGUAGUGGAGUUACAUCGGAUUUACUAGGCUGAGUAGUGAACGCGAUGUCUUGAACUGUCAGCCGUUCGUGUAAACCAAGACAAUGCAACCCACACAAUACUAUUCUCACAUUUCCUUUGUUCUCAUGAUUGUGUCCGUUUUGGCCAUGGACACACAUCUUGGAUUCAUAAGUGUUUGUCAAGUUUUUGAAGCGGCCCUCACUUCAUACACUUACAUAGGUGAUCUCCUAUUAAAGGUAUCCUGCCAAUACCUCACCUUUUGUUAUAAGGUUUUGGAAUCAUUAAAAGCUUUCGCUUAUCCUUUACCCUCUCUGCAGGCAGCACUAAUGUCUAUCACGGGAAUGAGUUGGAAAUAUAUUAUUCCAUAGGAAUAUAUACUCCUUAGUGCAUCACUGAACUUUCUUAGCUUAGUUGUCCCUUUUGAACCAGUUCUUGGGAUCUCCAGUCAGCAUGGUUGGGUUACCACCAAGAUUGUCCUUAAUUUAUGGGUUUUAAUCUCACUCCCCUAGACAGGCAAUAUGUUUGAUCUCUUUAGUUGACUUUUAGUCGCGGAUCCGCUAUUAACCAUUGAUUUUCAUAAUCAAUGUUAUAUUAUUUCUUUUGAGAUCAAUUGCCUAAUGGUCUUAUGUGUACGAGUGUAUCGAUACUUGCCAUUAUACAUGUCGUUUGUGCCCUUAACGUAACCGAUUGGUUAUCACAAUUUAUUCAUAAUUGUAGACACCGACUUAGUCCAACACGGAACAUCCUCCAAUAAUUUUAUGAAGUUUAUUCAACUUCUUUUAUAACCUUAUCUCAAGUUAUACAUUCGAAUUCGACCAUGAAUCGAGCUAUUCAAUUUUGUUUGAGGAUUUCCAAGAUACAUAAUCUUAGUGGACUCAUAUAUCCAAUGUAUUUUCCUAACACAAUAAGAUAUUUUCUUUAAUGUAAUCCAUUUAAAGGCUAUACUUAGAUUACCUAAGAACCCUUAUAAUAUCAUUUAAUGAUUAUUAUUUUUGGAAUUACAUAUUUACUAGUUUGCAAUUCAUUAUGCUGCCAAACUAUCCAAAAAUAUUUGUAAUUGAACCAUUGUUCAUCAUUAUUUUUGGCAAGGUAAACCCUUGGUCUUUAGAUAACUAGAUCAAUUUUCUAGUAGUGUCUCAACAUGAGACUUUCAAUAAGACUAUCUUUGUCUUAGUGAUUUUAAUCUGUAAGAUUACAUCGUCUAGACCCUCGUCUUUUGACAUCAAAAAUUUUAUUUUUACUUUUCCAAUAUUUUCUCAACGUUCAAAAUAGUAUCAUGAUCACUAUCUCAUGAUUAUAAUGUCGUCUAUAGACAUAUACUUCCAUGUGCUUUUAAUAUAAACACACUGGCCACACUCGUUAUUACGAGAAUUACUAACACAAUUUUAUCAAAUAUUACUUUAGAAUAUUUCCAUAGCUAUUUAAUUUAGCUUGAUAUUACAAUGUUAUAAAUAAUCAAGAUUUUCCAUAGCUAUUUAAUUUAGCUUUAUUGGACCACCCUUAAUCAUUCCUUUGAAUAGUCCAUCAAAACCUUAAUGGUUUACUACUUGGAAGAAGACAGACUAACUUCCACGUACAUUCUUCCAAUGUAGACAAUAUUUCAAUAAUUGUCCUUUGUUCAUUUUAUAACUCAUAAAACAUAUUGAUUUUCUUUGUCAUCUUGUUGUAUCUUGGUUGUUCAUCACUUUGAUGAUUUACCAAUCACACAUAUUUUAACUUGGUUGUUCAUCACUUUGAUGAUUUACCACUUAGACAUUUAUUAGUUCUCUUAUUUAGAACUUAUUUAUUUUCUUAUUUUACAAGAAAGAUAUAAUGUAAUUUGCAUCAAGAAUGACUAUCUUAUGCACAAUCAUUAUUUGCAUAUUCAAUGAAUAUGCUUCUUUCCAACUUUCAUUCACAUAGCAUUUAAAUGCUUUGAGAUCCUUAUUUUUAUUUUUAUUAAUAAGGAUACAACAUAUAACAAAAUACAUCUUCUUUUGUUAGAAAAAUAUAUUGGGUCACCAACAUAUUUAAUUACAAAGUAUUGUAUUUCUUUCUCUCAAGAAAGCACAGAAAGAGAAAUCUUCUCAAGAUACUUAAAUCUUGUCAACAAAUAAGAUUUCUUCAUUUUCCUCAAAAGAGAAAACCCGUCAAGAUACUUAAAUCUUAUUAAUAAACAAGAGAAUAUUAUUCUCUUCAAAUGGUGGUUGAUCUCCACUAUUCAAUAUUAACGUUAGAAUAUACAAAUUCUAAUCUUAAUCGUUCAUAAUUUAGGAUUGUAUGUCCUAAACAUGCCGUUCAAAAUUCAGCCAAAUCCAACGAUUUAAUUCUACAAAACAAGCUCUUAAGUAAAUUGCUCGAAUUUUAUUUCAACAAAGCAUUCAUUGUUGUUUACAAUUAUUUCGGAUGUUUGGAAAUCAAAAUCCGAUCUCAUCCAUUCACAUUGUAGAUCAUCACAUUGUAAAUGUGAUAUCAAAAAAUCAAAUUGAACCAACGAUUCGAUCUUCUCUUAUGUUCUUGAGACAAGAACUACUCAUGUGCUCUCAUGAAUUGAGCUUCUCUUUCUUUCUAUUUUAUUUCAAAUCGUGCUUUUAAUUAAACCGUAGUAUGAUUCAUAUAUAAAACAUAUGUACAUCAAUAUUAUAAUAAACGUAAUAUUUGACAUGUGAGCACGUCUUUCAUACUAGUUGAUCAUAAAAAGAAACAAUAUAUCAAGCAUAUUAUAUCAACAUAUAGUAUACACACGAGUAUAUAAUAACAUCAAGUUUGAACAUAAUAUUUCAUGCCAUAAAUUAGUUCAUGUCCAACAUAAUGAAUUGAUAUAAAUUUUAUAGCACGUAAUCAAUGCUUGUCCAUGCAAUAACACAAUUAUGAUGAAUUAGUAUGGUUUACGCAAAUAAUAAUAUGUAUACUAAUAUUCCUCUUACUAAGUAACUCAUACUUAAUAUACGAGACAAGUCUAAUCGCUCAUAGAUAAUAUUAAAAAUGUUAAUAGGAUCACGUACUCACGAAUUUCAUAUAACAUAUUCGAAAAUCUAUCAACUGAAUGGUUCCACAUCAACUGAAAAUUGGGAGAAAGCUAAUCCCCUAUCAAAACUAUAUGCAAGUUAUGCAAAUAAAUAUUGCAUUUUCAUAAGAAAUGUCAUGUAGUAUAGCACAUAUCAUGAUGUUUAUAAUACACUUAUUCAAAUAAUUAACAUAUAUGCUAUCACUUUAUUGCAUUUAGGAUAAAAAUAUUUCUAUCAUUAAUGUACAUGCAACAAACAUAAUGAAUAUUCAUUAAGCAUAUAUAUUGUAUAUGGUUUACCAUGCUUCCACAUAGAAAAUUAAACUAUCAUGCAAUAAUCCACCAUUAUAUCAUAUAGCAUUAUCAAUAUAUUUCACAAAUAGAUAUCUUAUAAUUAAAAAGCGUACCCGAUAAAUUAUAUGUUCGUCAAUUCAAAAUUUUGUGGGUAGCACCAAAUCGUGUCAAUAUUAUGGAAGUGCUGAAUGAUUUAUUCAUAUCUCUUCCGUCCCAAGUCCGAUUUUGUUGAUUCAAUAUGAUCCGAACAGCCAACAAACUUUUCUACAACUUUUAUCUUUUACGUUUUCUGAAAUUCGGAUUGGAUCAUGAUCAAAAUAAGCCUCGAAGUCGGAAUAGGUGUGCUGUAAAUUUGCACCAAAAUUUCGUGCAUUGGACAUUGGUGAUGCGUUAAUAUGCGACGAGUUGCAUUGGUCACGAACGGUUGUAUUUUUCAUGAAAAGGUGCAUCGGCAGUUCUGCCACCCUUUCGUGUUUUCAUCAUAACUUCCUCGUACAAUCUCCGAUUGUGACGAUUUAACAUGUUCUGGAAAGCUAACUUGAUUAUCUACAACUUUUGUGAAAUGUUAAUUUGCCAUAUUCGGACUUUAACACCUUCGAAAAUGGGCAAGAAUGUGGACUUCAUGUUCUAUCCGAAAAUGAACUUUCUCCAAUUGUAUUUUGUGACUUCUUGAUUUUUUGGCAGACUAUCUUCUUCUCCAUCUCGUUUUCCAACGUGUGCAGAAAACACAAUUUACUAAAUCACAAAAAUUUCGUCUUAAGAUUGUUGGUCCCGAUACAUAAAACGGGUAGUGAAUUUAGUAAAUUGGUUGAACAAAUUAAUUAGUGAAAAUACGAAAAGAUUAGCCGAGGCGAGUUGACUCUGUCCUUAAGACGAAAUUUCCCCGCAACGGUGCUAACGGAUUAAAUGGAAAUCGUCUCCCAAGAUACAACAGCAAAACUUGGAAUAAGAGCACUCCAAAUCCCAAGUACGACGAACUGUACUUUGUGUAGAACUUUUCGAGAGAAUCUGUGAAGGGUAGGCUUAAUAUGUAGUAGUAGGCUUGUUUUUGGAUUGAAGUGAGGAAUUGUGGGAAAGUUAGGGUCUAUUUAUAAGGUUCGAAAAGUAGUGUCCUUUUGGAGUAAAAAGGUACCUUUUGUUUGAAUGGUUGCACCAUUUCAAAUUGAGCCAAUUGGGAGUGGUUGCACCAUUUCGAGUUGAGCCGAAUGGUUUGCAUUGGUUCGGCCGCACCAAUUCAAACCAGUCAGACAAUCGAGAUGGGCUUCGAGUAAUAAGGGCCCAAUGGGUUAAAAGCCCAUGAUCUAAUGUUUUUGGCCCGUCCCAAUAAUUUGAUAUAUAUACAGCUCAGUACUUCUCUACUUUUCCAAUGUGGGAUAACUCAAAAUCCCGCUUUCCUUAUAUUUUGGACUAGUAAUUUUUUUCAUUCACCACAAAAUUGGUUCUAAUCCAAAAUUCAUUAUAUACUCAAUUAGACGGUACAAUAACAUUGAUAAAAAAUUGUUCAUGACUCAAUUUUUAACCAAUUUUCCCAACAGGGAAUAGACAAAAAUACCCUAAGAUUUUUUCACAAUAAAAAAAUCUCCACCCCCAAAUAAGUAACUUUUAAAUUUAAGGGCCUAAAUUAAAUUUCUAAAAAAACUGCAGAAAGUUGAGGGAUUAAAUUACAAUUGUUCAAACUUACUUAAAAUCAUAACCCUACCCCCGGCUCCUUCGACCCUACACCCGGUGACAAACACCGGGUGGGUCUUCUGCUGCCACGUGUCCUUUUUGUAUUUCUCUAAAGGGCAUUGUAGCCGGACCAUCCGUUUUUUCCACAAAAACGGAUGCCACUCAAUGCAUGCCAUGCGGAAAAUAAAAAUUAAUUAUUUUCUUUUUUCUUUUGUGUUUCCUUAAAUUAUUUUACCUGUUUAAGUUAAAAGAAUUUUUCUUUUUUUUUUCUUUUUUUCUUUUUCUUUUUCUUCCCUAACAAAACUUGUUCUACUGAGUGUAUGUUGUUCUUAAUUAUGAAAAGUUCUAUUAAAAUAAUAAAUGAUAUUAGUGUAAAAUAAUGUUUAUUUUUAAUGAACUAUUAUAUUAAAUUAAAUAAAUAUUUUUAUAUUCCAUGUCAAUGUAGUUGAGAGAUUAAAUAUGCCUAAGAGGGGGUGAAUUAGACUUUUCAAAACUUUUAAUAUUUUUGCAGAUUUAAAAUAUCAAUUGAACUAUUUCUAGAAAAAAAUAUAUUUUUCUUUGAUAAUAAAAUAUUUCAAGUAAUAAAUGUUUUGCAAACUUUCAAAUUAAUGCCGAAUAAAGUUUUAGCAAUAAACAAUAUGAGUGCGGAAAUUUGAAUACGAUAUAAUAAAGUGCGUAAAACAAAUGACACCAAAUUUAUAGUGGUUCGGAGAAAUUCCCCUACUCCACUCUUCUGGGCCCUCGAACUUUUAUUGUAUGUUCCUCCAAGAUCCUUGGAUCCUCCACACGAAAAAAUAUGUGCUUACAAGACUCUAACGACUUUCACACCAACGACGUGCUUACAAGAGACUCACUCUUUCGCACUUAUCAAUACGUGCUUACAAGAGACUAACUCUUUCGCACUCAACAAAAACCUCACAACAAAGAAAUGCCCUCUAAGAGCUUUACAAAAUCCCACUCAAGGUAUAUAAUGAAAUAAGUGAUAAUCAAUAGGAGAAUUUCGAAUUUCCUGAUAAAUUAAUGACUCUCUAUAAGCUCUUUUCGAAAUUGGCUUGGAAUUAAUGAAGGUUGAAUGAAUGAUCCACUAUUUAUAGGUGAAGCUCUCCAUCACUUAGAAAGGAAGGAAUCAAUCUUUAAUCUCUUGAUUGAUUAGAUGAUAAGUGUGAUUGAUCUCCAGCUAAUUGAGUUCAAUUAAAUCACUUGAAUUUUGUAAGCAUUUGAAUUUUGAAACUCAAUAGGAGUGUUCUUUCUUCAAAAAUGAUUUUCAGCAAAGCAUCUUCCAGCCAGCUUCAGCAACUUCCGCGGCAGACUGUUUAACUUCCGGACAUCUUAUAUUUUUUGAAUCUUUGAUUGAGGAUUGAUUUAAAAUCUUUCCAAAUCCGAAAAUAUGAUUCUCAGUCAAUUUAAAUCAAUGAAAAAACGUUUUUCAAACAAUUCAAAUAAUUUUGAAUAUUAAAACAUUUUCCGAAGAUAGAAGAUCUUGAAUUUCGAAAAACCUUUUGCCUCCAAAAUCUGUAUUAGGCUGAAUAACAAAAAAUCUCAUGGAUAUUUUCUUUCAAAUCUCAGCAGACCCUUUUAAAAUAAUUUUCAAAUAAAAAAGAUUUAUUUUUGAAAAUAAAUUAUCAUUUUAUAAAGAGCCAAUUUUCGAAAAUAAAGACCAAAUAAAUUGAGCUAAUUAUUUGAUCUAAGAAAGAAGAAUUUGGACCAAGACUAGAAAGCCGUAAGGAUGAUCGUUCGGAUCUCGUUCUCAAGAUAGUUCAGGGACAAUAGGCCUCUUAUGGAUUAUGUCACUGCGGUCUUGAUUAAUUUCGUCUUCAUUUUGUCUAAUAAUAACAUGACUCAAAGAAAGACUAUUAGAUCAAAUCAAUUGUUUGUAAAUCAUCACAUUCGAAAGUAACCUUUCAGCUAACAAUCUCCUCCUUGAUGAUGACAAACAAUUGAUGCUUUAUAAUUGAAGUAGUUAUACCAAACCUCAAGUGUAAUCUCCCCCUCAAUAUAUGAGGUAUGUCAAACCUUGAGCGCAAGCUCCCCCUUAACGUUGGCAGAUUCGUAACAUAAGCUCCCCUUUACUUUUCCAAUGAGAUGAUAAAGAUAAUUAAAGCAUCAUUAAUUCUUUCUCCCCCUUUGUCAUCAAUCAAGGGAGGAUUUUCUAUAAUCUUCUUUGCAAUGCUCAAAUUGAUCAUCAUUAUUUUAGUCUCUUGCUUUUAAUUUCAGAUUUUGAAAUUCCAUAUGAACUUCCAGUACAUGUUCCGGAUCGUUUCUCAGAGUUGCAGCAGAUUUUUCUUUCGCGAAAGCAUAUGUACCAACAAGGAUAUUAGCUUAGCUUUGUUAUCCAAAAUUCCAGAUAAAUUUCCAGCAGUUUUUGUUACUUCGUUUUCUAAUUCCAGCUGAUCUUCCUGUGACUUUUGAGUUUCAACUUUCGAAUUUUAAGAGCAUCCAAGUUAUCCUAUAUGCCUGAAAAUUUUAUUUUCUCAAGGAAUUCUUGACACUUAAAGGAUUAGAGUCAUAAGUAUAUUAUUAUCACAAAAUAUUAUCAUAUCAUUUUUACUCAUAAAUCAUAGAAGAUUUACAUUUCAAUAAUUUACAACAUGCAAUGCAUCAAAAAAAUUCAAAUAAUAUUAUUAGCAAUUAAAGCACUUACCAUUUUCUUCAAAUAUAAUUCAAAUCAAUUUUUGCAUUUUGGUACCCAAAUGAAUUUACUGGUGGUUCCCAUUUUAUAUGGACAAGAAAAAGAUUUAUGCCCAAUUUUACCACAAUAAUUGCAAGUAUUAUAUGAUAAAGAUGAUGCAUUCGAUAACUUGCUCAAUUCCUUAUAAUGCGAGUGAAAACUAGUUCCAACUUUAUCUAAUGACACAUUUUGCAAGCCAAGUUAUUUAUCGAGAUUUUCUUUGCCCUUAAUGAAUUUUUCAAGGCAUUUAUUCAAAUCAAUAACCUCGUUUUCUAGCACAAAAUUCUUCACAGAUAGAGAAGAUUUUUCAUUUUCACAAAUAGCUAGAUUUUCAAUAUAAGAAUCUAAUUUAGCUUCUAUUUCUUUUUCGUCACUGACAAUAAUAAUUUUUCUUUUCAAGAUAUCAUUCUUAGAAGCUAAUUUUUCCAAAUCUCUUCUACACUCAUUUAUUGUUUCAUGCCAAUCGUCUUCACAAUUAAAAUCAUCACAUUCAAGGUCAUCAUCACAUUCUUCAAAAUCAUUAAUGUUAUAAAAGUAAGAACUAAAUACCUCUUUGUUUGUCAUGAGACAAACAUUUGCGAUUUCCUCAUCGGUCAUAUCCCCUUCGGAUUCUUGAUCAUCCCAAGUUGUGCCUAAUCCUUUGUGUUUGGACAUCCGUUGUAAAAGGGUGAUGAUCAAUUUGAGCAUUGCAAAUGAAUACACCUGUAGGACCUCAGGCGCUACCAGUUGUCCUAAAACCAAUUGGUGUUAGAAAAGACGCGAACCCUAGCCUUAUAGUGCAUUCAACACGCACAAGCGUCCACGGCAUUUGAUUGUGGGCCGCCCAUACUCGGGCCUCCACCACGUGGACAAUUGCUGCAAAACUCAGGCUAACAAUAGUGUACAAUAACUACAAGUAACAUAAAAAUUAAUCGAAGAAAUUGCUUGAAACAAAUAAUUCAAGAUAAUACAAUCGAACAAAAUGGCCUACACUUAGUUAAUUUAAACGGUUCAUGAGAUAUAAACCCCUCAGUAAGAAAACUAUUAGAAAUAGUCCCCUCCAUCUAAUUUUAAUAAAGCAAACCCCCUCAAUCAGUGAUUUACCAUGUGUAUCCUCAUAUUUUGUGUUAGACUAAGACCCCUAGACAUGACCAUGGGCCGGUUCACUCCGGUUCAUGGUUAAAUUUUUCAGGAUCCGGAACCGGCCCGUACAACAUACGGUUGGCCAGGUCGGGCCGGACCGCCGGUUCACUCCGGUUCCGGCCCGGCCCGGAAAUAUAUAUAUAUAUAUAUAUAUAUAUAUUUAAAUACUUGAUGGAUAAAUAUAUCAAAAGAAUUACUUUUAAAUAGGAAAAAACAGAAUGAGUUAAAUGAAAGGACUUGAACUUGAAAAAAUCGGGUGUGAGGGUAUUUAUAGGAAAAAAUAGGGGGACAAAAAUUCAAAAAAGAGCAAAUAAUGGCGGGUUCAGCUUUUUUCAUUUUUAUUUUUAUUUUUAUUUUUUAUUUUUUUUAGAUAAAUAUAUCAAAAGAAUUACUUUUAAAUAGGAAAAAACAGAAUGAGUUAAAUGAAAGGACUUGAACUUGAAAAAAUCGGGUGUGAGGGUAUUUAUAGGAAAAAAUAGGGGGACAAAAAUUCAAAAAAGAGCAAAUAAUGGCGGGUUCAGCUUUUUUCAUUUUUAUUUUUAUUUUUAUUUUUUAUUUUUUUUAAAUCCGGGUGAACAGCCGUGUUCACAUAAUUCCAGAACCAGGUGCGUCCCAAGGACACGGGCCGGUUCACGGUUCCGGUACCGGUUCACCGGUCAACAGGCCGGUCCAGUUCGUCAACGGGCCGGUUCCGGUUCAAAAACCGGCCCAUGGCUGUGUCUUAGACCCCCCUCCCCCACAAUGUUACAAAAAAACAGAGACAUUCAUAGAAGUUAACUAUCUUCCUAAACUAGAUCUUCCAAAAAUAUCGCGUAAACAAAUCUUCUUGUUAUCUAGCUCUUCCUAAAAACAUGCUCUCUCCAUCUUCUAUUAUUUUCUCCAUCUCCCCUCUCUCCAACUUUCUCUUCCAUCUUAUCAACGGAAACAGUUUGCUAUGUUCAGCAACGGCGACGAUGGGCUGCUGUUCACGUCGGUGGCGGCGAAAGGCGGUUAUGUGCAGCACGGCGGUGAGCGGUUGUGUGCAGGGACAUCGAAGUGUGGUGGUUUGUGGCGACGAUAUGCGACGGUUUGAAAUUCUUCCAUGGUUGAUUCCUCAAGAAUUAAGUUUGUAAACAAGCUUGUUUUUUAGAUCUACAAAUCCAUGGUCGCAUUAUUUGUUGACACGUAAAUAUUUGUUUCCCACGAAAUUUGUUUUAUCGUAUUCCACAACAAACAAGGGAUCAUUGUUGUGGCGAAAAGCAUAAAAUAUUAUAGUCGUCUACACCUAGAGUCAACUAUAAAUAACAUGUAGUUAAUUAUCUUGUUCCAGAGUAAACUAUAAUUUUUCCGAUGUCAACUAUAAAAAUUUGUAAUCAACUAUAAUAAAUGGAUAGUUAACUAUAUUGGUGCCAUAGUCAAUUAUAAAAAUUAGAUAGUCAACUAUAAUUUUUCCGAUGUCAAUUAUAUAAAAUUAGUAGUCAACUAUAAUUUUUUCAUUAAUUCACUAUAUUAUUUUUCAAUUUAAGAAACUAUGGUGUUGUAAAAUGGAAUACUGACGAUAAUAAAUCUCAUCUCUGGCUAAAACAUGACAUUUCAUAGAGUAGAAAAUAAAUUGAUUUCAACGACAAAAAAAUGAGAUGUAGAAGAAAAGGCAAAGUAGUAAGAAGAAAUUGAGUAAAAUACUGAGAAAAAAAACAAACAGAAAGAGACGAGAAGAGAGAAAAUGGCGGAAGAGAGAGAAGAGACCGAGGAGAGAGGAGAGAGGGAGAACAAAAAUAAAACAAAAAAUAAGUCACAAUGAAGAAAAAAAAGAAAUAGAUAAAUGAAUGGAGAAUAUAAAUUGACGGGUAAGGGAGAAAUAAGGAGAAUAGAGAGAACUAAGAAAAAUAUGGGCAAAAAAGAGCAUAAUGAGCAUAAACAUAAGACUAGGGGAUCACACAAUUCAGAAAAUAUUAUAUGCAUUUAUUUAUAGAGUGUCAAUUAUAAAUUGGGUUCAGACUCUAUUAUUUUAUCUAAUGAGGGUGUUAUCCCUCAUUUUCCCUAAAUUAAAUUUUACUCAAAAAACUAAAAUAAUAUUCUUUUACCAUUUUACUCAAUUAUAUUUUAUUUCUGCCACUAAAAGUUUAAUAACUAAAAUAUAUGUUAAUAUAACCCUAAAUGAUAAGAAUGAGUAAAAAAAUCUUUCACUAUAUGUAAAAAUAUGGGUUAAACACAGUUUGCACCCUUGUACUAUCACCGCUGUUGCAUUUACCCCCCUGUAUUAUAAAAUGCGACAAAACAACCCCUCACCUUACCAGUCAACUCUCACGUCUCUAACAACGUUAGUUUCUGUAGUGUAAUUACCUUUUUACCCUUACUUUUUUUUUUUAAUAAAAAAUACGAUUUUCGGAUUUGGGUAAAAAAAAUUUACACGUACAGAACAAAAGAAGAACAUAAGUGAUAAACUUUCCCCUCUUCUUCCCUUUCAUCUUCUCCACUGCGAUUGAACAAAACAUAAACGUUUUGGAAGCAAUUCGAAUAGAACUUGGUGUAGAAAAAGGUAAGUUCUCAAAUUAUCUCUUAAUUUAGGGUUGUGGGUUUUUGGGGGUUUUUAUCCCGCGCACAAUUUGGGUUUAGAUCUUCAAGGGUUUAGAUCAUUAAGUUCGAGUGGGUCAUCGUUCUGGGUCGGGGAAAAGUGGGAUGGAUUCCUACGUCAAAAUUCUGUUCACCAGCCGCAUGCACCGCGAGUGAGACACACGAAGGGGCACUAGGCAAGGGGCACUAGUAAUAAGUAAAUUUUCUACUAGUGAUAUUUACAUAUCGUUCACCACUUGUAAUAAAGACUAACCAUGAAUAUUGAGGAUAUGAUAUUCCUGUUGUGUUUUCUUUCCUCUGCACCAAUUAGCGGGAAAUAGCUUCCGUGUAAUAUUGUCUCCACCGAGUUUAAUUCAUCAAACGGCCAAAUGUUAUUCAUCUUCAGAUCACACACACAAAAAAUAUUAAAGCUUUUUGAACCGAUCGAGUUUAAUUCAUCAAAACAGAUGAUAAAUAAUGAACCUUGAGAGGCAGAUGGAGGGUUACUAAGUGGCGCGCGGUGGAGCUGGUGGAGAUACAGAUGAUGAAGUUGCUGCCAAUCUAUUAUUGGAAAUAUUACUCAAAAAAUUAAUCUCCCAUAUUUAGUAUAUAAUAGUAUACAUACAUGUAUACUAUUAUAUACUCGAUAAAUUGUUCGUUGAAAUCAUCUCAGACAGUAAUAUUACUGUUUGGCUUGGAAUGUUCGUGAAACAAUUCCCACAUCUUCUGUCUCCGCACCACCGCCGACGCCAGCCUCUCCCAACUGUUUUUUUCGUGAAAAAAAGUGCUAUUUACCCUUGAGGAUAUUAAUGAAUUAACUUCGCUUCAAAAAGCUUUAAUGUUUUAGUCCACAAUUCUUUUUUUUUUUGUGGGAUUUCCCCCUUUUGUUUGGUGUUUUUAACUAAAAUUCACUUGUAUGUUGUUUUUUUAUCUUUUUCUUUUUUUACUAUUUGAAUGGGUUUGUGAUAUGAAGAUGAAUAACAUUUGACCGUGUGUUGCAGCUGGCAACAAAUCUGGUGGAUCCAUCACAUGGAAGCUAUUCUCUGCUAAUUGGUACAGAGGAAAGAAGGGUAAAUGGCAAAUAGGCCCAUGAUAAGGGCACUUAAUUAAAAGAGUAACAUCCAACCUUUUUGUCUUCCAAAUAAAUCCAGCUUAUUCAAACUUAUUUGCAAAUAAGGAAAAUCCUUUUAUAUAUACCAAAAUUAUCCCCAAUUCAUUGAAACCCAAUUUAACUCCAAUUUCAUGAGUUACAUCCCUAUUUAGCCCAAUUUCAUCGAUUAACCAAUUUUAACCAUAAUUUCAAUUUUGACCCCAAUUUUGACCCGCCACCACCGGAGACCGCCGGUCGCCGCCGUUGACCGGCGUUGACUUUUUUUUUUUUUUUGUUAAUUAAUAUUACUGUCUUGGCUGCUAAAUUACUGUGUCCGGCAGUUAUUUAACUGUCGGAGACAGUAAUUUAACUGUUAUUUGACUUUUUUUUUUCUUCAGAAAUAUUUUAAUUAAUACUACUGUAUUCGUUUCUAAAUUAUUGUCUCCAGCAAUUAUUUAACUGUCGGAGACAGUAAUUUAACUGUUAAUUGACUUUUUUAUUCUUAAAAAAAUAUUUUUAAUUAAUAUUACUGUAUUCGUUGCUAAAUUACUGUCUCCAGCAGUUAUUUAACUGUCCGAGACAGUAAUUUAACUGUUAAUUGACUUUUUUAUUCUUAAAAAAAAUAUUUUUAAUUAAUAUUACUGUAUUCGUUGCUAAAUUACCGUCUCUAGCAGUUAUUUAACAGUCGGAGACAGUAAUUUAACUGUCAAUUAAUUUUUUUUAAAACUUUUUUCUUAAAAAUAUUAUUUUAAUUAAUAUUACUGCAUUGACUGCUAAAUUACUGUCUCCAACAGUAAUUUAACUAUAUUAGACAAUAAUAUUAAUAAUAUUACUGUUCGGGAGAAUAAUAUUCAUAAUAUUACUGUCCAAACAGUAAUAUUACUGUCUGAGACAAUAAUUUAGUAGCCAAGACAAUAAUAUUAAUUAAAAUAUUUUUUUUCUAAGAAAAAAAAAAGUCAACGCCGGAGACCGGCGGUCAACGGUGGUUGACCGGCCGGAAAAAAAUUUCAGUAAAAAAAAAAUUUAAAAAAAAAAAAAAUUUAAAAAAAAAAAAAAUUUAAAAAAAAAAAAAAAUCAAAGCCGGAAAAAAAGCAUUUCAAAAAAAAAAUUAUUUUCUAAAAAAAAAAAAUUAGGGGGUUAAUGUAAUAUAUUUGUUUAAAUCUGGGGUCAAUGUGUAAUAUUAAGGAAGUUAGAGCAUAAUGGAUGGAAUUGAUAAGAAUUAUAUUAUGGAGGGUAUUUUAGACUAAAGACAUGUGGAUGAGUUUAAUUGAGAGACUGUUUUUUUUGUGGACCAAAAUGCAUUUAAGUCCCAUGUGAUGGGUCUUUUUGCCAUUCGCCCAGGAAAGAAAAUGAAACAAGAAUAUUAUAUCGAUAUUCCUGGUUAGUCAUUUAAAUACAGAUAGAAAUUACAUGGUUGUGUGUGUGUAUAUAAAUAUAUGGGCAAUUACGGCCACCCCUGAGUUAUGGUCAAAUUACGAAAAUUCCCCUCAUAUUUGGGUAAUUACAGCCACUUCCCUCAACUAUGUAUUAUCUUUCGAAAAUACUCCUCCAGAGGUAAAUUUAGGGAUGUUAAAUCGGUAAAAUCCGAACCAAAAUUUGGUACGCCAACAUUUCAUACCGUUUACCGAACUGAAUAUACGAUUUGGUUCGGUAAAUAACCGAAUUACAUAAAUUUUAUAUAAAAAUAUUCAGAAUGAGGAGGUGGCUGUAAUUACCCAACAAGAGGGUUUGAUUUUCGUAAUUUGGCCAUACCUCAAUGGUGUGGCCGUAAUUUGCCCAUAAAUAUAUAGACAUAUAAAUAUGUUUCCUAUGUCACUUAUUUUGGAUUUUAAUUCUGGGGUGAGGUGGGCAUUUGCAGCAGGAGUUAGAAGAUUUUCUCUAAAAGAACUGAAGACUGCAACAGAAAAUUUCGCACAUGGAAAUAUCUGUUGUAGAAAGGGAUUUUGUAAGUUGUAUAAAGGCGAGUUAGAAAAUGGGUUUAUAGUGGCAGUUAAAAGAUUUGAACAGCAAGGCAUCUCACGUGCACAGCCGCUUCUCAAAGCAGAAGUCGAAACGAUGAGAAUUGCUGUUCAUCCAAAUAUACUUGGCUUGGUCGGUGUUUGCAUUACGCAAAAUGAAAAGCUGCUCGUUUAUCCCUUCAUGGUCAACAUAACUGUUGGAUCAUGCUUAAGAGGUAAUAAUUGGUGAAAUUUGGAGUCAAAUUGAGAUAUUUUAGUCAUUUACACACCUCUAGAUAUUGACUGAUUUUUUUUUGUAAAAGAGUUUUUUAUCGCACCCAUUUAUAAUAAGUAACAUGAUGGACUUAUUUGUAAUAGACUAUUUUUUUAAAACUCGUAAUCCUCUAAAUGGUACUUUUUAGGGAGUAAUGAAUCGUAAGAGGAUUUUUUUUUUCUAAUAUUAAUACCACAAUCAUGAUUAGCUCAGAGUUUUCCAAUCAAGGCAUCGAGAAGUCAAUUCUUCUUUGUUUUUAUGCUCGUUUAAAAGGUAUAUAUGAAAAAUUUGUUGGUAAAUUAAAAAAAUAAACGGAGGAAAAAUGUUUCAAAUAAAAAUUUUACUGCAGAUCGACCGAAGUCACAACCUCCACUUGAUUGGCCAGUAAGAAAACGGAUAGCAUUGGGGGCUGCAAGGGGUCUUUCCUACAUGCACGAUGAAUGUGAGAGUAAAAUCAUCCAUCGCGACGUCAAAGCUGCAAAUAUAUAUUUGAACGAGGACUUUGAUGCAAUUAUUGGUAACUUUGAGUUGGCCAUACCCACGGACCACGGUGUUACACGUGUGGAAAAAAAUGUAGGUGGAACAUUUGGUCAUGUAGCUCCUGAAUACCUCUCCGAUGGUAUUUGUUCGGCGCAAUCUGAUGUGUAUAGUUAUGGCAUAUUUCUUCUUGAGCUCGUCACUUGUCAGAGAGCUUACGAGGAAGACAUGUUGUUAGUUGAUUGGGUGAGAGCCUACCUACCUAUAUAUAUAAUGGUAUUGUAUCUUAUGCUAUAAAUUUCAUUGCCUUGAUACUAAACUAAGGGCGAAUGGCAAAAAGGCCCAUCACAUGGGACUUAAAUGCAUUUUGGUCCACAAAAAAAACAGUCUCUCAAUUAAACCCAUCCCCAUGUCUUUAGUCUAAAAUACCCUCAAUAAUAUAAUUCUUAUCAAUUCCACCCAUUAUGCUCUAACUUCCUUAAUAUUACACAUUGACCCCGGAUUUAAACAAAUAUAUCACAUUAACCCCCAAAACUUUUUUUUUUCAGAAAAUAAUUUUUUUUCUGAAAUGUUUUUUUUCCAGCCAGAUUCCGGCGCUGACCGCAGGAGACCGGCGGUCUCCAGCGUUGAUUUUUUUUUUUUUUUGUUUUUUUAAACUUUUUUUUUCCUGAAAUUUUUUUCCGGCCGGUCAACCACCAUUGACUUUUUUUUUUUUCUUAGAAAAAAAAAAUAUUUUAAUUAAUAUUACUGUUUUGGCUACUAAAUUACUGUCUCAGACAGUAAUAUUACUGUUUGGGACAAUAAUAUUAUGAAUAUAAUUUUCCUGAACAGUAAUAUUAUUAAUAUUAUUGUCUAAGACAGUUAAAUUACAGUUGGAGACAAUAAUUUAGCAUCCAAUGAAGUAAUAUUAAUUAAAAUAUUUUUUUUUUAAAAAAAAUUAUUAAAAAAAAAAAGUCAAUUAACAUUUAAAUUACUGUCUGCGACAGUUAAAUAACUGAUGGAGACAGUAAUUUAGCAACGAAUACAGUAAUAUUAAUUAAAAUUAUUUUUUUAAGAAUAAAAAAGUCUAUUAAUGGUUAAAUUACUGUCUCCAACAGUUAAAUAACUGCUGGAGACAGUAAUUUAGCAACGAAUACAGCAAUAUUAAUUAAAAUAUUUUUGAAGAAAAAAAAAAGUCAAUUAACAGUUAAUUUAGCAGCAAAGACAGUAAUAUUAAUUAAAAUAUUUUUCUUAAGAAAAAACAAAAUUAUAACAAAAAAAAAAAGUCAACGCCGGAGACUCGGCGGUCAAAUUCAGGAAAACAAAUUCAGGAAAAAAAAAGUUUUUCAAAAAAAAAAUAAAUAAAUAAAAAAAAUUCAACGCCGGAGACCGGUGGUCUCCGGCGGUCAACGCCGGUCAACGGCGGCGGCCGGCGAUCUCCGGUGGUGGCGGGUCAAAAUUGUGGUCAAAAUUGAAAUUAUGGUUAAAAUUGGUUAAUUGAUGAAAUUGGACUAAAUUGGGGGUGUAAAUCAUAAAAUUGGAGUUGAAUUGGGUUUCAAUGAAUUGGGGGUAAUUUCGGUAUAUAUAAAAGGAUUUUCCUUAUUUGCAAAUAAGUUUGAAUGAGCUGGAUUUAUUUGAAAGACAAAAAAAAUGGAUGUCCAUCUUUUAAUUAAGUGCCCUUGUCAUGGGCCUAUUUGCUAUUACCCCUAAACUAAUUAUAUAUGUCACCAAUAUCUAUUCUCUCAGGUAAAAAAAAUCUUAGAGGAGAAGAAGUGGGAGGGGAUUGUUGAUCUUGAUUUCGAGGAAGGUGUGGAGCAGCUUAUUCAUAUAGCUCUGCUCUGCACAGAAGACAACCCUGAGAAACGUCCAAGGAUGUCGGAUAUCGUGACGAUGCUACAACUUAUUGGAGACGGCUUAUUAGCUCAAAGGUGGGAAGAGUUUUGUAACAAAGACAUGCUCCAUCGUCAGGAGUUGAAGAGGUUCGAAACGAAUGGUUAGUUGGGAUUUCAUGGGUCUUAAAUCUACGAGUAGUUACCAAACCUUACACUAACGUGUAGCUCGACACGAGGAGAUGCAUUUUGUAUACUCUGCUUGUUUAAAAUCAAGAAAGAAGUCAAAUAGAAAUUGUGCCUACAGUGAGAGUCUUGAAGUAGGUAGGUUUCUCCAUUUCAUACAAGCGUAAAUAACACUUAAACCCCUGUGGUUACAAGCUCUUGCAGAUGACCUCCAUGUGCUCGUAAUAUUGGCACAUAACUCUCUUGUGGUUGAUAGAGGUAGUCCGUUAGUUUUUCCAACAAACUUCAAUGGGGUCAUCUGCAAAAUAUAGUAUUUUAGACGUUUAACACGCGCAGUUAAUUUUGACAGAAAAACUAACAAAAGCUAAGUAAUUAAUUAUGUGAUGAUGAUAUUACAAGCAUAAGGGAGUCAUCUACAAAAGCUUGUAACCACAGGGGUCAUCUCAAUGUAGACAACUUAUCCUACAUCGGUUAAACUUUACACUAAUGUAUAUUUCUUGAAUGAUAUGUACUCAUCUCAAUGAUAUAACCAGCGCAUCUCCUCUUCUCUUUCUCAAGUUGAUUCGUGGACAACAUGGUUUUCCAAAGCACUUUGAUCAAUUUGAUCAAGAAUCUUGAUCAAAUUUCAAAUCUCUACGACGCUUAUCGGCAUAACUCUUCUGCCGAUUCUGAGCUAUCUGACUCACGAAUCGCUUAUCUGCCUCACGAAUUCCACAGUAUGUUGAACCGGCUCAGGCCCAAUCAUACGUCUUUCACCCGCUUCUUCCCAAUUUACUCGAGACCUCCUUCCAUAUAAGGCCUCAUGUGGAGCCAUACCAAUCGAAGAAUGAUAACUAUUGUUGUAGGCAUCCUCAAUCAAUGGCAACUUUGAAUCCCCACUCCCGUGAAAAUCCAUUAAGCAUGCUCGAAGCAUAUCUUCUAAAGUCUGAAUAGUCCUCUCGGAUUGACCAUCGAUACGAGGAUCCAAUGCCGUACUGAACGACAACCGUGUACCCAUAGCCUGCUGCAAGCUCUUUCGAAAAACGGGAUCUUGAUCUAACACAAUAGAUAUCAGAAUUCCAUGAAGUCGGACAACCUAUAUGUUAAGACUUGGGGAAGUAUUUUGAUGAGAAAAACUAUUAUUUUUUUUUCUACCUUUAGAAUUUUCACUUACAAAUAGAAUUUCAACAGCCCCCCUUUUUACACCAUAAACAAGAUGACUCUUUGACUACAAACUCUUCAAACUUCUUAUUCAAACAUAGAAUAUCUAAAACACAGUCCAAUGAAAAAAUCUAGAAAAGUGGCUUAAUCUGGUAUCGAUAGACUCCAUUUGUAUAUGUCCGUAAUAGUAAUAGAUUCCAACAGCCUACCACAGUCCCAAUAUAUAACUGAUCAUAUAGGAAACGGGAAAAAUAUAAUUUUCAUCUUUCAAGUUUGCACUGAUUUUACAUUUGGUCCUCAUAAUUCAAAAAAUCAACACUUUUAGUCAUUUCCGUCAAUUUUCCGGUAGUACUAACAGAAUCAAGCUUGUGUCCUUCACUGCCUUAGCUGACAAAUUAACGGUAAAUUGGCGGAAAUGACUAAAAGUAUUAAAUUAUUGUAACACGAGGGACCAAAUGUGUUUUUUUGUGAACAUCCAAAUAAGAAAUCGGUGCAAACUUGAGGGAUGUAAACUAUAAUUUUCCCUAUAGAAAACAUAAAAAUCUGAUGCAGACACCAAAUUUGACUUAUUAGAGAGAAAUGGUAGUGUAAUUGAAACAUAUUGCACGAUCAUGUUGGGCUGCAUAAUUAAUCUGAUUGCCCUGGGCUAUCUGGUAAAAUUAGACCCAAUUGCUCAUUGGAUCUCUUCAUUAUUUCUGUUGAUUUAUAUACCUAUAGAAAUCAAUUAGCCUAAGUUGUAACAGUUAAGUUGUGGAAAAAAUAUUCAGUUACGACAACUGUAAAUCUUGUGUUGACACAGUUAUACUCUACUUAAAGUAAAUAAACAGAACACAAGAAUUAAUGUGGUUCAGACAAAAUUGUGCCCUACAUCCACGUGGACAUGCAAACACGAUUUCACUAGUUCAGAUUUAUAGUAUACAUUAAUAGGACUUAAUAAAAACACUAAAGACUCCCUCUUUAUGUAAUAUGCCGUUCUUGCAUACAACUCGAACUUCGUGUUUCUUCCAACAGCAGCUCCACACCGCGUGCCUACAACUCCUCUCUGGCCUGAACUCCCUCCAGUGACGCGGUUGAUCUCUCAAGAGAUCUAUACAACAAAUCUGUAUAUGUUGACACAUCCAACGAUGGCACAGUUCUGUUUAGCAGAACGUUUCAGCGAUUCUUCAAAGCUAUGGAGUGAUUUUUCUCCCAACAAAAGUGUCAUGGUCUUUGUGAGGUGAGGAGCCUUAUAUAGGCGUGAGAUCGGCCUCCAAAGACCUGUCUUCCAAAGGAACCGAAUAACUAGGAAACAGAAUCCUAGUCAAUAUCUAGUUCUAAUCUAGAUAACUAGAAAAGAUUCCUAACAAGAGUAAAGUACAAGGAAAUAAAUCUAAGUCCUAAAGUAUUACAAAGGUAGGACUCUAAAUUUCCAAAAUAAACAUGGGAACAAAUCUUUAGCCAAUCUUUACUUCCCAAGUGAGGCGGAUUUCUUCCUUGGUGGAAAUCUGGCGCCAACAAUCUCCCCAUUUGGCAUAGAUUUGGUCAGAACCCAUGUUUAACAAGAACUCCCCAUGCAGAUAAGACGGAAAGAGAAAAGACUCCCCCUGCAUCACACACUGUUAGCACAUAACAUCACAUACUGUUAGCACAAUAGCAGUGCUACAUAACUAUUUCCUGCAGUGAGAGAAAUAAGAGAGAGAUAUUAACUCAAAAAUAGUUAUCAAUGCAGAUAAAAAGAUAACAAAUAGAGUCUAAGAUGCAGAAAAAAGAAAGCAAGCUAUUACAGACCAAAAGUAAUAGCAGAUAGUUUAAAGAUAAAAGACAUAAAAACGCAAAAACAUAAAUCUCUGCUUUAGUAACUAAAGCCAGAGAACAAAUCAUCAUCAUCACGAGAGCUGGGCUGUGGAGGAGUAAGGAGGGAUGCCUGCUUUUUGCCUUUGUCUUUGGUCUUGGUUGAAGCCGCAGGAGUUGGAGUUGUUGCUACUCCCCCUUUCUGACCAGAAUGUGCCAAAGUCCUAAGCAGCUCAUCCUGAAUAGAUGCAAACCCUUGAGCUAGCUCAGCCUGGAUAGUCUCCUAAAAACGAGUGAGCUCAUCCUUGGUGACCACAUCAACUGGCGGUGGAACAGAGAUAGAGACAAUGGGAGCCUUCUUCGCACAAGGGACCGUCUGAACAACAGAAGGAUGGACAGGAGGCAGAUCAGCAAAAUGUUCAGGCCGGGCCAUUUUUUUAACACUUUGGCAGUGAGAACAGAGGCCAUAGUAUCUUUUAAAACAGAGGGUUUGGUAGAAACCUCGUUUGGACAUUUAUAAAAUUCAUUAAUCAAGGCAAGAGUCACAGAAUAGAAGGAACCCCUCACAUACACUUUCCCAUACCCACGAGACCCCUCAACAGAAAAACGAUCAGAAAGAUUGGCAUAAAACUCAACAAUGACAGAUCGUUCGAAAGGUUGUGCACUCACAAUAGUGCCAAGCAACCCUUGAGAUUUAAGAAGACGGAAAAUCCCAGACAGAGGUAACACAACCCUAGACAGAACACGCUCAGGAGAGCACGCACGCUUACUCAUACUGUCCCAGUUUUCUUUAGCAAGAGCGGAAUAAAAGAGGGUUGAGAAACAGUUACCAGCAAAGAGUUGAGAGCCCACAGAUGAAUCAGAGGAUUCAGAAAGCAAACGGUCAUCCUCAGGAAUAGGCUCAGAACAAGAGGAUUGAUGACCUUCAGACUCGGAGAGAGGAGUGGAGACAGAUGGGCCUUCGUGUUUUCGAUUAGAGCGACGGAGUUGAGCAGGAAACACAACAUUGCGGGGGGCAACCUCGGGAUCUGAGGGCAGAUCAUUUUGGGGGGUUGCAGAGAGGCUAUCACCGUCAAGAGCAGCUACUCCGGUAUCAACAGGGUCAGGCACAUCACUUGUCCUCGGUAAUGGUGAAGCCAUGGGAGUAGAGAUGGGGUCCAGAUCUGUGGCGACGGGAACAGGAGAGAGUUCCACAGCAGUUGGGUGAACUUUUUUCGAGGAUUUUUUCGACUUCUUCUCAGCAGGCGACGCAGAUGGAGUGUGGCGUCGUUUCUUGGAGCCCUCAGCAGAUCGAUUCUUGCCCAUGGUGAAUAGUGAACACAGAGAAAACAAGAGAAAAAGAAAAGGAACGGCGGUAGAGAAGAAGAGAAUGAAUAAAGAGUGAGAGGGAAACCCUAGAAGGGGUAGGUAGCUAUUUAAAGCACAGAGUCCAAGAAAAGAGGCAGAAAAAGAGAUGACUCUUCAGAUACGGAAUAUUUUCAAAUCAGAAGAAGAUCCCACAAAAUCCGCGACCAAUAACACACAAGAUAUUCUCCACACGAAACAUCAAAAAAUAGAGAAGGCAGAUGACAUGGCCAUAGCCACGUGGCCAGAGACAACUAGUAGCCAAAAAAUUCACAAAGCCCAUAAAAAAUUCAAAAAAAAAGAUUUAAAAGGAAAAAAAAUCACAUCUUUUAAGGAAAAGAAAAUCAAGAAGAUCACAAGAUUAAAAGUUGAGGGCUUGGUUUUCAUGAAUUAAUUUGAUAAUCUUAAAGAGAAUCACAAUAGAAGGCCACCGAGGAAGCUCUUGGAUGCACGAUAUAACUAUAACCCCAUGACCAUACUCAAGAAACCAUAAUUUAGAUAAUUUUAUUAGGGUUAUGAAUGCGUAUGUGAUUAGCAAAACAAUUCGAUCGUGUACUUCAAGGAGAAUUUCGCUAAUGAAUGCUUGAAUAUCAUCCCAACUUUUUUUUUUUUUUUUGAAUUCGGACUAUUUAUCUUCCUCCCCUUUUUGUUUUGUUGAUAUGAUGUUCAAGCAAACAUUAGGAGGGCAACCUCCUUAAGAAUCCACAUAGCUUUUAAAUAGAAGUUAGGGAUGCAUAUGCGGUAGCGUAAUUCUCCCAAUAGAGGUAUGAUCUUUGAGAUGAAUGAGGUCAUCGACAUUGAUCACUCCCGAUAGAGGGGGCAACACACUUCUAUCAUGGCUAACUGUGGAAACAAAAAUUAAUUCACAAAAACUAACACACAAACAAUUAGUCAAAAAUGAACCUCCCAUCAUUCCUAUUCCAAAAACAAUGAUGUCACAUUUAUAGGUGACACAUAUAAUGUCCGAUUAAAAGAUUCAAGUGCAAUCCGGACAAAAACAUUAAUUGCACUAUCAUCGAAAAUUCAGUUUUGCACAUGGCAAAUUCCAAGCGCUUUAUGCAAGGAAUCAAACCUAAGGAAAUCGAGGGGCUUUGUGAAAAUAUCAGCUAAUUGAUUGUCUGUGGACACAUAAUCCAUAGUCACACGUUUCUGCUCAACUAAUUGCCUGAUGAAAUGGUGUCGAAGAUCUAUGUGUUUGGUUCUAGAGUGCUGGACAGGGUUUUUUGAGAUAUUUAUGGCACUUUCAUUAUCAUAGAAUAUAUGAAGGAGUUUUUCAUGAAAGCCAUAGUCAUUUAACAUAUGUUGCAUCCAAAGAAGUUGAGUGCAACAACUACCUGCAGCUAUGUACUCAGAUUCAGCUGUUGAUAAAGAGAUGCUGUUUUGUUUCUUACUGUACCAAGAUACUAAGUUGUUUCCCAUGUAGAAACAGCCUCCUGUAGUACUUUUUCUGUCAUCCACAUCUCCUGCCCAGUCAGCAUCACUGUAUCCUGCAAGACAAGUAUUAGUAUCUUUGGAGUACCAUAUCCCUAGUUCAAGAGUUCCACUCACGUAUCGUAUGAUGCGUUUGACUGCACUUAAGUGACUUUCUUUAGGAUUUGAUUGGUACCUAGCACAUACUCCUACACUGAAACAAAUUUCAGGUCUACUGGCAGUAAGAUAAAGUAAACUUCCAAUCAUACUCCUGUAUAAUGUGGGAUCCACGUCUGUGCCGUCACAGUCUCGUCCCAACUUUUCAGUAGGACUCAUUGGAGUUUUUAGAGGCUUUGCAUUAUCUAACCCAAACUUACUUACCAGAUUCUUGGCAUACUUGCUUUGUGUGAUGAAAAUUCCAUCCUUCAUCUGCUUUACCUGCAAGCCAAGAAAGUAUGUUAGCUCUCCAACCAUACUCAUUUCAAUUUCGUUUGACAUUUGAGAGAUAAACUCAUCUUUCUUGUGGUCAGAAGUAGACCCAAAGACAAUAUCGUCCACAUAGAUUUGGGCCAAAAGAAUUUUGUUUUUAAAAUUUUUGACAAAUAGUGUUUUAUCUACCCCACCUCUUCUGUAUCCUUUUUCAACUAAAAAGGUCGUAAGUCGCUCAUACCAAGCCCGAGGGGCUUGUUUGAGACCGUAUAUGGCCUUUUUAAGUUUAUAGACAUGUUGAGGUUUGAGUGGAUCUUGAAAACCUUUUGGUUGUUUGACAUACACUUCUUCAUUUAAGAGCCCAUUUAAAAACGCACUUUUUACAUCCAUUUGAAAAAGUUUAAACUUUAAAGCACAAGAUACUGAGAGUAAAAGACGUAUUGACUCAAGACGUGCUACCGGAGCGAAUGUUUCAUCGAAAUCUACUCCUUCAAUUUGGGUGUAUCCUUGAGCAACAAGACGGGCUUUGUUGCGAGUUAUAUUACCAAGUUCGUCCGUUUUGUUUUUGAACACCCAUUUUGUACCUAUAACGUUUACCUGGUCGGGUUGUGGAACAAGUUCCCACACUUCAUGUCGAGUGAACUGCUCAAGUUCCUCUUGCAUAGCUUGUACCCAAUACUCAUCAAGAAUUGCUUCUUUGAUGUUUUUUGGUUCUAUAGUAGAAGUAUAGCAAACAUACCUGACCAUUUCUUGGUAAUCAACUUUGGGCUUAUUUCAAGUUUUCAUACCUUCAUCAAAUUCUCCUAUCACCUGUUCAGAAGGAUGAUUUUUUACAACUUUGAUGGUCUUUUUCUUUCUUAUGUGCUUUCUUUCACUGCUGUCACUCCUUCUGUGCUUUCCUUCACGGUCGUCACUUCUUCUGUGCUGACGUCUGGCGUUUGUACUGGUACAAUGAUUUUUCCUGGACUAGCGUCUUCCUCAUCCAUUCCUGCAGAUAAAACUUCAUUAAAGCUUACAUUAAUGGAUUCCAUAACAGUCAUUGUACGUUCAUUAUAAACGCGAUAUGCCUUGCUGUUUAGAGAGUAACCAAGAAAGGUACCUUUAUCUCCUCUUGCAGAGAACUUACCGAGUUGUUCUCUAUCGUUCAAGAUGUAACAUUCACACCCAAAGACAUGAAAGUAACUUAAGUUGGGUUUCUUACCUUUCCAUACUUCAUAUGGAGUUUUCUUGGUACCUGGUCUGAGGUGUACACGGUUUAUGGUGUAGCAGGCAGUGCUCAUAGAUUCAGCCCAGAACUUUGUGGCCACUCUUGCUGAGAUGAGCAUUACGCGAGUCAUUUCUUGGAGAGUUCUGUUCUUUCUUUCUACCACACCAUUCUGCUGUGGUGUCUUUGGUGCUGAGAAUUCGUGAGAGAUACCAUGUUUAUCACAAAAUUUUGUGAAUGAAGAGUUUUCAAACUCUCUCCCAUGAUCGCUUCGAAUUCUUCCAAUAUUGCUGAAUUUUUCAAUUCGCAAUUUUUUGUACAGAGUUUUGAACUCAUAAAAGGUCUCUGACUUUUCCCUAAUGAAACGUACCCAAGUGAACCUUGAGAAAUCAUCAACACAAACUAGAACAUACAUUUUUCCACCAAUGCUCUCGGUUUGCAUUGGUCCCAUUAAAUCCAUGUGAAUGAGUUCCAAGGUCCUGCUAGUCCCUGCAUGAUCUGUGUUCUUGUGAGAUGUCCGUACUUGUUUUCCCAGAGGACAGUCACCACAUGACUCAGGUGUGUCAGACUUCAGUUGUGGUACCCCUUUCACGCAUCCUGUAUUAACAAGACGGAUUAGAUCAUGAAAAUUUAAGUGACCUAGUUUCCGAUGCCAGAGAUCAGUGAGGUCAGAAGAAGUGUGAUGACUUUGAUCCGAUUUGUCAAUCUGAUCAUUUUUUUAGCAAUUAUCUGAUGACCUAUAUCCGGUUAGAACACAAUUUUUAUUUUCAUCAAAUACUUCACACUUACGCUUUGUGAACAAUACAGAGUCGUAUAGAUCACACAACUGACUUACACUCAGAAGAUUUGAUUUCAAACCUUCCACAUACAGAACAUUGUUCAAGUUUGGCAACCCUCCAACAUUCAAGUCCCCUUUUCCUUUUACAUAAGCCUUAUUUCCAUCUCCAAAAGUAACCUGUCCACUAGACAUGUUAUGCAGAUUUGACAAGAAAUUCCUUUCACCUGUCAUGUGUUUGGAGCAUCCACUGUCAAAAUACCAAGAGUUAGUAGCACAUGCAUUUAAAGAUAAAAUGGCUGAUCAACAGUUAGUACUAUCAUUUGUCAUCCUUUGUUUAUAAGAGUUGUUACUUUGAGAGUAACUAACCCACGCAGCGGAAUUGGAUGUCUGAUAUGCUAACUAUUUAUUUAUCAAUUUCCAUAUUUUAAAGAAUUUAGGCCUGACAUGCCCUAUUUUGUGACAGAAGUGACAGAUAGGAAUAAACUUAGUAGGAUAGGUUUGGUUGUUCACACAUGAAGAUGUGGAAUUGACGAAUCUGAUUUUCUGGUUUGAACCAGUGUUAGCAUUAGAUUGCCCAUCAGUAUACCCUAACCUAAUUCUUUUGGAAUUAGAAGGAUGAGCAUUUAUGAUUUCAUCUAAUCUAUUUGAGGGAAGAAAUGCAGUGCGAUUUAACUUACUGACAGAAGCCUCAAACAUUGUGCUAACAGGCGGUGAAACAUCUUGGUGAUCAUCAGCAUGCAUUUUUGGAAAAAGAUUUUUCCUGAUUCUUUUUGCUCUUUCACCAUCAUAGUCCUGCCAAUACUUCAACAAAUCUUUGAGAUUGUCGAUGUCUCUUUGUGCGAAGUCCUGUUCUACUUCAAAGACUUCAAUCUCCAUCUCAAGUUCAUCAAUCUUGUCAUUCAGUUUUGUGAUAACUCAUUUGUUUUCUUCCUCUUGUUCUUUGAUUCUUUCUUUCGGGAGUUUAUUUUCAUUACUGACUUCAUGACAUUGCUUCAGGAGAUCAUCCAAUUGUUGUUGAAUUUGUUGGAUGGACUCUUGAUAAGGAACGUCAAAUUGGAUUCGUGUGGCAAAAUAACUAUUUAAUUCGGAGAAGAGUUAUUAAUGGGCAUUGGUGGAAAUAUCAAAAGAAAUUAUGGGAAAAUAAGGGUUUUCGACGAACUUAAACGUAGUUGAGUAUGAAACGAACUCUAUCUCAAGUAAAACAACGUAAGGAACAAAACUCAUGAGCAAAGCUCAUGAAUCACGUCAAAUUUCAGCAAUCCAAGGUCGUUUAGACUUCCAAACGUUCGUUUUUGCUAUUUUAGGUAAGUUUUAGAAAAUUAAUAUCAAAUCAUAGAAAAAUCGGAUUAGGAUUCCGUAAAUUGGGUUGUUCCCAAAAUUACGAGAUCUACUAGAAUCAGACUCUAACUCGUUUUUGCCGUUUUUGGUAAUUUUUAGUAUUUUCUUAUUUUAAUUAGGGUUUUCAGUUUUUUAGUAUAAAUAGCUGCCUUAGGACUUUAUUUUAAAAAAAAAUUUCGAAUUUUAAUAAAAUAAUUAGAGUUUUCUCUAUUUUUCUGGUGGAUUCCAGAGUUUUCGGUGGAUUCCGAAUGUUAUUUUGUUCUAUAGGAUUAAUUCGUAGAAAUUAAUUCUUUACCGUGCUUCCGUUCUGCGUCAGUUGAGUUAAAUUGGAUUCGUGUGGCAAAAUAACUAUUUAAUUCGGAGAAGAGUUAUUAAUGGGCAUUGGUGGAAAUAUCGAAAGAAAUUAUGGGAAAAUAAGGGUUUUCGACGAACUUAAACGUAGUUGAGUAUGAAACGAACUCUAUCUCAAGUAAAACAACGUAAGGAACAAAACUCAUGAGCAAAGCUCAUGAAUCACGUCAAAUUUCAGCAAUCCAAGGUCGUUUAGACUUCCAAACGUUCGUUUUUGCUAUUUUAGGUAAGUUUUAGAAAAUUAAUAUCAAAUCAUAGAAAAAUCGGAUUAGGAUUCCGUAAAUUGGGUUGUUCCCAAAAUUACGAGAUCUACUAGAAUCAGACUCUAACUCGUUUUUGCCGUUUUUGGUAAUUUUUAGUAUUUUCUUAUUUUAAUUAGGGUUUUCAGUUUUUUAGUAUAAAUAGCUGCCUUAGGACUUUAUUUUAAAAAAAAAAUUCGAAUUUUAAUAAAAUAAUUAGAGUUUUCUCUAUUUUUCUGGUGGAUUCCAGAGUUUUCGGUGGAUUCCGAAUGUUAUUUUGUUCUAUAGGAUUAAUUCGUAGAAAUUAAUUCUUUACCGUGCUUCCGUUCUGCGUCAACUCUUCACCUUCAUCUUCUGAUUCGUCACUCCAUGUGGACAGAAAAAGGUAUAUUUAGAUUUCCGUUAUUUUCAUUUUCCUGUGUGACAUACCUGAGAUGUGGCGGUUCUGUGCACGUGAUGUCCUCGAGUGUGUCUUCUGUGAUUCUGCAAGUGCCACAGAAAUCAUUGUUUGUAUCAUCGCCACUAGCUUCACUCUCAUCAUCAGAUUCUGAGUUGUCAUCACUCCAAGUUGUGGCAAGUGAUUUUCCUUGUUUUUUCAGAGUGUUAGCACAUUCUGCUUGGAUAUGACCAUAACCAUGACACUCUCUACAUCGAAUUCCCUUCUUGACUUCUGGUUUAUCUGUAGAGGUCCUGGGUUUUCUCUCAGAGUUUGUAGGAUGUCCAUUUCUCUUGAUGAAUUUUCCAAAAUUUGUUGCUAUUAAGGACAUGGAUUUUGUGAGCUUGACUUCAAGUGCUGACAUAGGAACAGUAGGCACAUGUGUUGUGGUGUCCGAUACAGUUUGCAGAGCAAUUUUCCUUUCCUUGUCCAUUCUGCUGAUGUUCAACUUGUUUUCAAAAGUUUGUAGAUUUCCAAUCAGAUCGUCAAGUCGCAAUGAGUCCACAUCACUUGCUUCCUCUAUGGCAGUGAUCUUGUACGCGAAUCGGUCUGGCAUGGAUCUGAGCACUUUUCGUACAAGUUUUACUUCAGGAUAAGUUUCACCGAGGCCAUGAGCUUCAUUUGAAAUGUCACAUAAUUUGGAUUUAAACUCGCUCACGGUCUCAUUUUCUUCCAUACGAAGAUCUUCAAACCGAGUGGCAAGCAUUUGAAGUUUGGAUAGUCUGACCGAAGCAGUUCCCUCGUAAGCUGUUGGGAGUUUCUCCCAUGCUUCUUUAGCACACUCACACGCCGAGAUUAUCUUGAAUUGAUUGAUAUCAAUUCCAUUGAAUAUAGCAUUCAAGGCUUUGGAAUUCAUAUUUGCUGCAAUUUGUUCGGCUUUCCUCUAGUCUUUCUCAUGCUUCUCAGUUUCAAUCCCUUUCUCAUCUGUGGCAACGGGUCGCUUCCAUCCAGUUAACACUGUUCGCCAUGCAUCUUCAUCAAUUGACUUUAUGAAGAUCUUCAUCUUAGUUUUCCAAUAGGAGUAGUUGGUUCCCGUGAGCAGUGGUGGGCGAGUAGUGGAACCUCCUUCCAUAUGAGAACUCAUAGUACCUAUGAACAAUAAAUGGGAAAUAAAUCAAAUUCCCAAAAUCACACACUAUGUAUAUUUAGUGAGAGGCUCUUGAUGCCUAUUGUUGAUUUAUAUGCCUAUAGAAAUCAAUUAGCCUAAGUUGUAACAGUUAAGUUGUGGAAACAAUAUUCAGUUACAACUGUAAAUCUUGUGUUGACACAGUUAUACUCUGCUUAAAGUAAAUAAACAGAACACAAGAAUUAAUGUGGUUCAGACACAAUUGUGCCCUACAUCCACGUGGACCUGCAAACACGAUUUCACUAGUUCAGAUUUAUAGUGUACAUUCAUAGGACUUAAUAAAAACACUAAAGACUCCCUCUUUAUGUAAUAUGCCGUUCUUGCACACAACUCGAACUUCGUGUUUCUUCCAACAGCAGCUCCACACCACGUGCCUAGAACUUCUUUCUGGCCUGAAAUCCCUCCAGUGACACGGUUGAUCUCUCAAGAGAUCUAUACAGCAAAUCUGUAUAUGUUGACACAUCCAACGAUGGCACAGUUCUAUUUAGCAGAACGUUUCAGCGAUUCUUCAAAGCUAUGGAGUGAUUUUUCUCCCAACAAAAGUGUCACGAUCUUUGUGAGGUGAGGAGCCUUAUAUAGGCGUGAGAUCAGCCUCCAAAGACCUGUCUUCCAAAGGAACCGAAUAACUAGGAAAUAGAAUCCUAGUCAAUAUCUAGUUCUAAUCUAGAUAACUAUAAAAGAUUCCUAACAAGAGUAAAGUACAAGGAAAUAAAUCUAAGUCCUAAAGUAUUACAAAGGUAGGACUCUAAAUUUUCAAAAUAAACAUGGGAACAAAUCUUUAGCCAAUCUUUACUUCCCAUGUGAGGCGGAUUUCUUCCUUGGUGGAAAUCUGGCGGCAACAAUCUCCCCCUUUGGCAUAGAUUUGGUCAGAACCCAUGUUUAACAAGAACUCCCCAUGCAGAUAAGACGGAAAGAGAAAAGACUCCCCCUGCAUCACGCACUGUUUAGCACAUAACAUCACAUACUGUUAGCACAAGUGUACGAUGUAUCGAUUCAAAACUAAUGUUGAUACUUAUUAUAAUAUUAAUAACGAUACUUAUAUUGAUACUAAUAUUAAUAUUCAUACAUAUACUUUAUUGAUAUUCAUACUAUUUACUGAUAGUUAUAUUAAUACGUAUGCUGAUACUGAUACUGAUAUUUAUAUUUAUACUAGUACUAAUAGUGAUAUUUAUACUGAUAUUGAUACAUACACUAACACUGAUACUAGUUCUUAUAGAAAUAAUGACAAUAAUAUUGAUACUAAUACUAUUACUGAUGUUGAUACACAUACUAAUUGUAUAUUAAUACUCGUACUACAAAUAUAUUACUCAUACUAUUACUAAUAUGAAUAUUGAUACUAAUAACAAUAUCAAUAUUGGUACUCAUAUUGAUACUCGUAAUGAUACUCGUACUCAUGCUGAUAUUGAUAUGCACAUUGGUAUUGAUACUGAUACUGGUACUAAUACUCUUACUAACUGAUACCUAUACUCAUAUAGAUAGUGAUACUCACACCGAUACUCAUAGUGACAUUGAAUAAUACUGGCAUUAGUAAUGAUACUCAUAUUUAUAUUGAUAUUCAUAUUAAUAAUAUACUAAUAUUGAUUACUGAUACUAAUAAUGAUACUCAUACAAAUACUCGUACAUAUACUCACAUUGAUACUCAUGUUGAUAGUCUAUCGACAGACAUACUGAUAUUACGCGUGCAUUGUAAAAUGAUUGCAGAAAUAGAUCCAGAGCUUCAAACAACAUGAAAUCAUCACUAAAAGAAAGAGCUCGACGAGAGGAAUCUAACGAUAGUCAUCAUUUUCUGACCACCGGAGAGAACGUAUGACUCAGAGAAACAACAUCGUCAGUUGGACACCCACAGGGUGAAAAUUCGGAUAUGAGAGUGUGAGAGAAAGAGAUAGACAAUUGUGAGUUGGUGCAAACAAAAAAAACAUUAUUUUUUUUUUCUUUUUCUAUUUUCUGAUUUCUCACAAAAAAAUCCUCAAUUUUUUUUCGAAAACUGUUACAAGUUCCUGGAAUCGCCAUUAUAUACAAGCAACAAACUGUCAAUUGUUAUUCAUGAAUAACCACCCUAUAACACAAACAAGACACACACACAUUAAAUUUUAGUUGAAAUUAACAAAAAGGUGGAUUGCAAUUUGAACCGAGUUUAAUUCAUCAAAACAGAAGAUAAAUUACGAACCUUGAGAGGCAGAUGGUGGGUUAUUAAAUGGUGGUGGGUUGCUAGAAAUACUACUGAAAAAAUAAUCUCGAAUAUUUAAUACACAGUAUAUCUCAAAUGAAAGAUCCCAUCUGCUUUAUAUAACAAUAAAAAAAAUGAAAAUAAUAAAAUACUCGAGAAAUUGUUGGUUGAAAUGAUCAUCGUCAUCCUCUGAUGAAGGGAUGGUGUUGAUGCUAGGGUUCCUGGAGUGAGAGUGUUAUUUUUGGUGUGUGUAUUUCGAAAUAGCAACGAACACAAUUUUGGAGAGAAGUUUGAAACGAAAAAGCAGUCGAGGCAAGAACUCGGUUCUUUCUCCUUAAGACAAAUUUGUCCCGUACAGUGUUCUCGGUUUACGGCAAUCGUCUCCAAGAUACAACAACUAUUUCAGUUCCAACAAAGUAGCACAACUAUUAUUGGAACACGACGAACAAAACGACGUUUAAGACUUUAUAUGACACGAAGAAAUAAGACUUGAUAAUUGCAACAAUAUGUAGUGAUAUGCUAUGAUGAGAAGUGAAUCAAUUAAUGUAUUGAAUUCCAUGUGAAAAAUGAAUGAUUCAAAUGGUUUUUGGAAUCUAUUUAUCGAUUUUCAAAGUUAUCACAACUCUUAGGAAAAUAAUUUCAUGAAAAGGUAUCACACCUUUUCUCAUUAACUACUCACCCUAUUUCAUUUAAUAGAUGCUUAAACACCUCCAUCUUUUUCAAUGGUGGCAUUUCACUUCUUUAUUUUCCAUAUAUUAUUAAGUGAUUUUAUUAAUUUCUCAUUCAUUAAAAUUAAUUUUGAGAAACUAAAUUUAAUCCACUUAAAUAAUCAAUUAAAAUUGAGUCUAACAGUCAAAAUUUCCAGCGGAGAAUGACAUAAUUCCCAAAUCUGUUGUUUCCUAACCACCGCUGUAACUAACCUCACCCAAUUGUCUCAAGACGAGUACAUCUAUCUUUCACCUCUGCUUUCUUAUGAUCACAUUCACAGUAUAUAUGAAAUUAACUAUUAUAUUAACUUUCUGAGAUUUAAUAAUGUUUAAAAUAUUUUUUUUUUCUUUUUUCUGGUGUUGAACUGGAAUUUCGUGGAAGGAGAAAAGGGGAUAAAUGAGAAACACAUUCUUCCGUCGUCAAAAUAAAAGUCAAGCAUAGUAGGGCUCUGUGUCAUGUCUCAAGUCUAUGAGUGUCAAAACAUAUCUGAUUUCUUCGACUUUACAUCCGGUGAUAAAUAUGAGUGUCAAAAUAUAUCUAAUUUCUUCGACUCUACAUCCGGUGAUAAAUAUCGGAUGGGUCUUCCAGAAGACCCACCCGAUAUUUAUCACCGGGUGUAGGGUUGGAGGAGCUCAACAUAUCUUUGGGUAAAUUUCGACCACUCCUGAUGUAAGGUUUAAUUACGAAAAAAACCUCUCAUGUUUGGAUAACUACAAUCACUCCCUUCAACUAUGAAUCUAGAAUAUUAUGUUGAUUUUGACACUAUAAGAGUGGAUGUGUAAAAAAAUUAUAGUUGAGGGGUGGUCGUAAUUACCUAAGCAGGAAAGGGUUUUUUUCUUUUCGUAAUUUGAGGUUGGUAGAUAGAAUAAUAAGAGUUCUAGGUAUCAGGAGGACGAGAGAAUAGAACGUACCUAAGUAAGCCAGAAGAGUUUAUUUAUUGUGUGAUUUGUAGAAUCCUUAUUAGAGUAGAACUCUAAAUAGGAUUACUAAACCCAAAUGAGCUUGUAAGAUCUUAUUAAUGUAAUUGAGCCAUCAGUUAAUGACCUUGUCGAUUGCUCAAAUACUAAUUGGCUUAUUGGGCUGGUCCAAUAAGGUAUAUCAUUUACCCUAUAUCUUUAGGGUAAAUAACACUUAACCUCCCUGUGGUUACGAUCUUUUGCAUAUGACCCCCUUGUGCUCUUAAUAUCAGAACAUAACCCCCCCCCCCCCUUGUGGUUUAGUGCGUUAGCUUCCGUUAAAUUUUCCGUCAAACUUAACCACAUGUGUCAAACGUCAAAGUGAUUUUUUAUUUUUGCAGAUGACCCACUGUGCUUACAUUUUCCCUUCCAUUUUUGCAUAUGUCCUCUUUGAACUUAUUAAAUUUGACGGAAAACUAACAAAAGCUAUCCCCUAAACCAACAAGGGGUUUAUGUGCUGAUAUUACAAGUACAGAGGAUCAUCUGCAAAAGGUUGUAACCACAUGGAGGUUAAGUGCUAUUUACCCACCUUCUUAUAGUGUUACAACGUGGACAGUUAGAUGGAAGCUAGAAAGUAAAUUUCCGCAUUAUGUUAUAAAUACAUUGAUCAUUUGAUACAUGAAGCAAGCAAUAUGUAGAGAUAAUUAUACUUCGAUGGUUUGAUAUAUUUGGAAAGAACUUUUAGAUCUCCUUAACUCUCGCGUUUCAAAUCUUUAUGUUGUGGAUCGGUCAAUUGAGACAUUUUGCCCAUGACUCAACACUGUCUUCACAAUGCUCCUUAGGUCUUGAGAUUCAAGACAUAUCUUCAUUAGAUUACUCGCGUAAAUGCAUUAUUUUUUUUCUUUUCUACCUUUGGCAUUUUCAUACUUAUAAAUAGAACUCCAACACCGUACCCACCUUUUGUCGAUAGGAUUUUGUUAAAAAAAUGAAAAAUCAGAAAGAAGAGAAGAAGAAGAAGAAAAGAUUAGAAGGGAGAAAAAAAGACUAGUUGUUGAAUUGUUUUAAAAAGAUCAAUCCAUUGUCUUAACAGCAAAAGAAAUCAACUUUUGUAAUCUUGAAAAUCAAAUUUAUUAAAGUCCUUAAGAGGUGAAUUCAUUUUUUCAAACACCUAUCUUUCAAAUUUUGGCGUAAUCACCUCAAUUCAAGAAGGAUAACCACACCCAUAUUUCCUACAUCGAUCCAAAGAGCCAAAAUUGAAAGCCAAAAAGCCCCAAUGAUCACAAUAGCUUAAUAUUCAUUGUUAGUAGAGUAGAAGAAUUCGGUGAGUAUAUGGAGUCAAACAUAUGUAUGUAAGCAUAGUUUUUCUCUAUUUUUGAUUUACAAAUAUUGGAUGCUUGAAGCAAUUGCAUGAAUUGUGGUUUUUGGCAAUGGUAAGUGACUAAGUGCUUAUGAAUUGCAAGCUUGCGAAUGUUUAAGAAUUUUCAUUAUAAUUACAAGUUCUGAAAACUUGAAGUUGGUCAUUAAUCUAUGCGAUGGAAUGCACUAGUAGAGUUAUUUGCUUAUGAUUAGUUUUUGCUCGAGGACAAGCAAAAGUUCAAGUUUGGGGUGUGUUAAGUGCAUAUUUUUAUACUUAAUUAUAUCUUUUAAUUGUAUCUUUUAGUUUAUUUUAUUGAUAAUCGGUGCUUAUAGUUUUAAUAUAUUGUGUUUCAGGCAUAAAUUGAAGUAUUGAAUAAGUGGAGGGUCAAAACUACAAUAUAGAAGAAAAGGUGGACGAAAUUGGAGAAGUAAAACAUCUGAGAAGGAAGGACUGCAUAGUAAAGAAACUUCAAAGUAUUACAACGAAACUGCAUUUUCCCCAAUUUUUCCCACCCUAUAAAAAGCCAUCUCAAGAACACAACUGGGAGUUCUCGUUUUACGCAAUUUCAAGAGAAAAGAAGCCAUAACGAAGACGAAGAAUUCGAAGACUCCAAGUAUAGUAUUAUCUUCCAUGAUUUAUUUUAAUUUCGUUUUUACUUUAAUCAUGAGUAGUUAACUCUUUUAUUUCUAGGAUUUUAUUUCGAACCCUAUGUGGGAUUUAUGAACUCUUUUCUAUGGUUUUAUGUAAGUUUUAAUUCCGGGUUAUUUCUUCUACUUGUUUUAUUAAGUACAUGAAACUGGCCACAUUAUGUGAUUUUAUGUUAUUGUUAAUCGCAUGAAUCGGAAGAUCGGGUAAUAACUAGAACAUGGGUAAAAGAGCCUUUGUAGUAUUAACAUAGUAAUAUAGUUAACCUCUUAGGUAGCCAUUAUUGAGAUUUGUGCUUCAUGAUGUGUUCUAGAAUUAAUUGCGUGGGAAUACAGUAAUUGAAUCUAGAGUAUUAUAACCGUAAUACACGCGAAAGCGGGUUAUGAUUAAUUUAGCAUCUCAGGUUAGUAAUCCGAUUUAAUAACUUGCAUAAUUGAAGGAAUUGGGGAAUUAAUAAUCACAUAGGGGGAAGAAUAAAAUCCUAGUCUGCUUUCUCUGGUUAAUCAUCGUUUUUAAUUGUUUUCGUGCUCUUGCCUUUUUAAUUUUCUUUAGUUUAAUUUAGUUUCAUUCAUUUUAAUUCCUCAAUUUGUGAUUGUGUAGGGCGGGCUUGAUCAUAAUUGGUAGGAUUUAGCAUCUAGAAUUAAGUAAUUAAAUUUUCUCUGUGGGAUCGAUACUCGGACUUUUAGUCCAUUAUAUUACUUGUACGAUACGUGCACUUGUAUGUAGGUAUUUUCACCAACAAGUUUUUAGCGCCUUUGCUGGGGAAUAUUUUAAUUAUUUAUUUUAUUCUAGUUCUAGAUUUGAACAAUUUUCACGAUUCACCCAAUUUUAAUUUUAAUUUUCUUUUUAUUUUUAUUCUAAGAACCGUUUCAUCCAUAAAUCGAACGUACUUUUUGAGUAGCUAUGAGAUUUCAACGCGAAAAUAAUAUAAUGCAGGACGAUGAACUCAGAGACGCAAAGGGUUAUUUACUCGGUCCAAACGGAAUUCGAAUCCAAGACCAACCCCACGGCUCCCACUUCAGCCAGUAGUUAGGCCACGGGCACUUCUAUACUACAUAAUCCCGACUCUUGACGGAUUCCGCCUGAGCAUCCAGGAUCCACCCAUCGAGGCUCAUAAUUUCGAGAUUAAGCAAUGACUCUUGACGAUGCUCCACAAUAACGGGUUAUUUAGUGGAUUGGCAGGUGAAGAUCCACAUCUCCACAUUGUUAGUUUUCUCGAAGUGUUUCCCAAGAGCGCUCCAGUUGAUUCUCUUCCAGCAUUCACUACAAGUAAGAGCUAGCCAGUGAUUGAUGUCUCCCAAGCCCCUCACUCCAUCACGUCGUGGCCUCAACUCCUAAAAUUUUUCACGAAAGUUUACAGCUCGCCAGAGAAGAACGAACGAAUACGACGGGAAAUUCACAAUUUCGUCCAAGAUCAAGAGGAAGCAUUAUUCGAGGCAUGGGAAAGAUUCAAAAAUCUCUUACGGCAGUGUCUAACUCACGGAGUGGAGCAAUGGCGACAAAUCCACAUCUUCUACCAAGGAAUUAACGAGAAUGCGAGAACCGUUUUAGAUGCAUCAACCAGAGGUAAUUUUACGAGUCAAUCUAUACUUGAUGCAUUUAUUAUAUUGGAUCAGAUUGCGCACAAUAGGUUUGACAAAUCAAGGGAAAAGGACGAUCAUUGGGGCCAAAAAGGUUCCCGGAGUUUUGGAAUUAGAUGCAAUUACGGCCCUUCAAGCUCAAAUGACCCAAAUUGCUCAACAGAAUCAACUCAUUUUACAACACAUCAAGGUAAAUCCACCACAUCAUGUCCAAGCGAUGGACUCUCCAUGCUGUGAAAUUUGAGGUGGAACUCACUACACGCUCCAAUGUCAAAAAGAUGUGGAAUCACUCAACUACGUCAACAAUGCACCUCGUCAAUUCCAAAAUCAAGGGAGGAGAUCACAAGGAAAAUAUGGAGGAAAUCAACAAGGCCAAGGGUACGAAAGACCUCAAGGUCAAUUUCAAAAUCAAGCCCCUCCUCAACAAAGCUACCAAGGCAACAAUCCACCGGCCCAAAACUCACACACUGAUGAGGUGUUGGCCCAAUUUAUGACCGCCACUCAAGCCUCGUUGCGCAACUUAGAAACUAUAUUAGCCCAAAUAACAUCGAGUCAAGAGAACCGCUUCAGCAGGAGCAUUGCCAUUCAAUACGGAAGACCCUGGAAAGCAGAAGUUAGAGAGUUGCCAAGCCAUCGAUUUAAAGAUCGAGGAAAAAGAAGAAAUUCUAACAAAUACGCAAGUCAAUGUAGCCGAAUGGGUGGAACCGAUCCCAUACCCCCAGAGAUUGCAAAAUAAAAAGAUCGAGGCCGAGACUUGCCAAGCAGGCACCCUGAAAAACAUGAAGCAAUUGGAAGAAGCCCCGCGGAAGGAGAAGAGAAACAUGGCAAUCGUGAAACUGAGAGAGCUUGAGGAAAAUGAAGCAAUUCAAGAAGAACCGCCAGGGACAGCGAUUGCACAGGACCCACCAAUUCCUUAUCCUCAAAAGUUUCUAAAGAAAAAGCUCGAUGCCGAAUACCAAGGUUUUUUGGACAAGUUGAAGAAAUUCACAUAAAUAUCCCAUUCAUCGAAGCACUUCAAAAGAUGCCAAAGUGAGUAAAAUUCCUCAAUGACCUCGUAACAGAGGGAAAUAAAUUUCAAGGGAACGAGAUGAUCCAACUCAGCGAGCAAUGCAGUACAAUUCUUACUCGGCCCCAUCCACAAAAACUCGGCGACCUAGGUAAGUAUACUAUCCCUUGUACUAUAUGAGGUAAACAAUUUAGAUCACUUAUUGAUUUAGGUGCUAGCAUUAAUCUUAUGCCUUAUUCCACGUAUAAAAGUCUUGGGUUAGGUGAGAUUGAACCGACGGCUAUAACUCUUCAAUUAGCCAAUAGGUCUUUAGUUUACCCUAAAGUUAUUUUAGAGAAUGUGCUAGUAAAAGUCGAUAAAGUUAUCUUCCCUAUUGAUUUUGUUAUACUUAAUAUAGAUGAGGAUAACGAGAUACCUCUUAUUGUAGGAAGACUGUUUUUAGCCACGUCGAGAACUCUAAUUGAUUGUGCUAGUGGUGAUCUUACGAUGACGGUGCAUGAUCAAACGAUCAAAUUUAAUAUUUUUAGUGCGAAUAAAAAUCCAUGUGAUAAUAAGGCUUUUUUUUUGCUACGGAUAUUAUGGAUUUUACUAAUCUUGAAAAUUGUGAUGUUUUUAUCUUAGACUCUUGGGAAGCAUCUUUGAGUGCAGGAGAUGAUGGCGGAAACGAGAGUCGGAAGGAACAAGUUUGUUUUGUGGACUCAACCACAAAUCUUCUAAGGGAUAGUCCAAAGAGUUGGGGUGUUAACAACAAUGAGCGUGCAAGGAAGAUGUUGCCACCUAAAGAGCCAAACAAGCUACGAGAGAAGGCCUAUGCAAGCUAUUGGGGUCGUAAGGAUAAAGUCAAACGGAAAUUUCACAAAGGACAAUUGGUGUCAUUGUGCAAAUCCCAUUUUUUGUUAUUCCCAAGAAAGAGCAAAUCAAAGUGGUCGGAACCGUUCAUUGUCCAAGAAAUUCUUCCUCACGAAGUAGCCAAGAUAAAGGAUCGUGAUUCGGAUCGCGCGUUCAAAGUGAAAGGGAGCCGGCUCAAGCCUUACUGGGGAGAUAGUGAAGAUGGUCAAGUGACUUCGGUCACUUUAGCUUGAAAAUAAAGAAGCAACGUCCGGCUAAAGAAUUUUAACUUAGCGCUUCUAGGGAGGCAACCUCAGUGUUAUUGCUUUUCGUAUUAUUUUUCUUUAAUUUUAUGUUUUGCUUUUAUUUUCCUAGGCAUGCAUUCUAGUUAAUUUAAUUGAUUUUUAUUUUUCAGGGUCAAAAUUGCAAUUAUGAAGUCCGAAGGCGAAAAACAAUAGAAAACAUCUAAAAUAAAACAUCCAAAAUAAAAACCUAAGGCAUGUAAACUAAAGCAAAUAAGCACAAAAAAAAUGUUUUUCCACCUCCAAACUUAUAAUUUUCGUUGCCCUAAACGAAAUUAGAACAAAGUUUAUGGAUAGAAAACACCUUACUAGUCGAAGUCGAUGUGAUCAAGGUGCUCCUCCCUAUCUCUCUCAUACUCCUCGUUGUCGGAAAGCUCGGGUACGGGCUCAAGAAUCGGUGCUGGUAAAGGUCCCGGCUCGACACAAUCGGGCGUCCCACAUCCCAAGUUUCGUACGAUGGCUUGUAGCAUCUUUCCCGACCAUUGUUGGAGUGCCUCCACCAUGUUGACUUUAUGCUCGACGGUAGCCAACCAGUUUCUAGUGAGUAUUAUCUCUCGCUCCAUCCUUUUCCGGAAUCGUCGAUUGGCACGUGAGCUUGAGGCUUCUUGCUCGUUUCGUGCUUGAGGUUGAGGAUCGGCGUAAAAUUCGGCCAAGGCUUGUGGCUCGUCGUGGAUUGCUUCCUUGAAUUUCGAGGCUGCAAAAUCAGCAAUUGGCUUCCUGAUAUUGAGCUCGAUGUCGUUCAGUUGCUUGGGGACUUUCAUGUGUUUACACAACCCCGUGAUGAGGCUAGGGAAGAAUAUUCCCUUUGAAUUAUCGUGCAUAGUCCGCCAUAAGUGAUCGUAGAUAACACCACCGAUAUCGACCGGCGUGCGCGUGAUGAUGUAGUAGGCGAGAGCACACCAUUCGUGAUUGAUUCGACUAAGAGAGGUGGUCGGAAUCACGUUGGCGCAAAUAAACGUCAACCACACUUUGCCUUCAUAGUUGAUGCUCUUCCAACUUAGCUCGUACUUCUUCUUUUCCGGACGUUCAAGCCAUAUUGGAUGCCCAUCACAUAGUAUCUCACCAUUUUUAUCCUUGGUGACUUCGUUUCGCAUGCCAUCCCAGUUGAGACCUUGGUAGAGAAGUCCGUAGUAGUGGUUGAUGUCUCUCAUCUCCCACUCGACAUGAAUGUUUCGUACCACACUGGCGGAAUAAUCGGUAGUGACAAGUGCUAAUGAGUUGGCGUAGAAUUCUCGGACGAUCGAGAUAUUGUAAGUGGGUUCCGGUUCGCACAACCUUUGCCACCCUCGGUUGAUGAUUUCUUGACUAAGGUUCGCAAAUGGUGGUAGAGUGAUAGUCAAGGCUCGUUCCGUAAUGACUUUCUUCUUGGUUUGUUUCUCGAAUAGGGCGGCGACUCCUUCGACACUAAAAGCUUCUUUGUCGGGUUGGGGAACCAACGUUUCCUUGGUGGAUCCUUCCUUUCCUCUCAUUUUUUUCGAAGAAGAUGCUUCACCUGUAUGGCCUCUCUUGUUGGAAGACAUGAUGGGAAAUCUAAGGAGGAGAUUUGGUGAGAAUUGGACGAGAAUCGAACUCCCAAAUUUGGUUGGAGCAAUCUAUCGAACACCUUGUGGGCGUGGCUUGAAGAGUUAGAUUUUGGAGAAUUUGGAUCAGUUCUCUAGCCCCCCUGUCAAUACCAACACAUGUAUAAAAUUUUGAGAACCGGGUGUUGAGUAUUGUGUGUGAAAUUUGUGAAUUUGUAAGUGAAAUUCGAAAAAAUUUAAUUUUUGGAGCAUGGGUGAUUGAGAGAGAAGUAGGAGAAGGUUUGAGAAUUUGAGGGAAAGAAAUCUGAUUUCUCGUUUUAAAAAUGCCCAAAAUUCGUUUCGGACGGCUGUCUAGAAAUUUGAACUAGAUUUUGGACGACCGUCUCAAAAGUCGUAAGUGGGUUUUCAAGUCUGGGCUUUCGGACGGCCGUCUAAAAAAUUAUGCCAUAUUUCGGACAGCCGUCUCAAAAGCUGUAGUUUGAAUUUCGGCGUCGAGAUUUCAGACGGUCGUCCCGAAUUAAUUUCCUUUGUAUUUUCGGACGGCCAUCUCAAAAGCCGUGAGUUCGCUUCUUCCCUCUUAAGCUAAGACGGCCGUCUGGAUUUCUACUUGUAUUUUCGGAUGGCCGUCUAAACUUCUUAACUGCAAUUUUGACCAUAAAAAACAAAAAUCAAUUAAAUUAAUUAGAAUGCAUUCUUACGAAAAUAAAAAGAAAACAUAAAAAAAAUAUAAAAAAAUAAAUAAAAAAUAAUAAAGAAUUGCUUGAGUCGAAUGCAUCGAUGAGUUAUGAUGAUGAGAGAUGACCAAAGUUUGAUGAUGAGAUUGCUUGUUUUGUUGUGAUAAGAAUUAGAUGGUUGUUUAGUAUAGGAGAAUUAGGUUUUGGAGAAAAGAGAGAAUGAAUUAUCUCUCACGUAUAUUAAUCAUAUAUAUAGUUAUUAUGUAGGAAACCCUAAUCCUAACUACACAAGGUAACCUAUUAUACAAGGUAACUAGAAUAAAUAGGAAUAAUAAUAAUAUACGUAAUAUAUAUAUAAUAUAUACGCUAAUACACCCCCGCAGUCGAAACGGGAAAGGAGAGAACGUGGAGACUGGAGACAAACUGUUGGAACAGUUGAGUAGGGAGUCCUUUCGUGAAGAUAUCGGCAAACUGGUAGGCGGAUGGGACGUGAAGAACUCGAACGUGUCCCAAAGCAACUUUGUCUCGGACAAAGUGGAUAUCGAUCUCCACAUGUUUCGUACGAGAGUGUUGAAUAGGAUUGCUGGAUAGGUAGACAGCACUGACGUUGUCACAGUAGACAAUAGUGGCUUUCGAAAGUGGGCAGAGCAACUCAGAAAGUAGGUUGCGUAACCAAGUUGUUUCGGCGACGGCAUUUGCGACAGCUCGAUAUUCGGCCUCCGCACUCGAUCGAGAAGUAGUGACCUGUCGUUUGGAGGACCAAGAGAUGAGGUUGUUGCCGAGGAAAACACAAUAGCCCGAUGUCGAACGACGAGUGUCAGGGCAGCCACCCCAAUCGGCGUCGGAGUAAGCGAUAAGGGAGAGGUCCGGAUUGGGGGAGAGCUGAAGGCCGUGAUCGAGAGUGCCACGAAUGUAGCGAAGGAUACGCUUGAGAGCAGCCAUAUGAGGUUCCCUCGGAUCAUGCAUGAAUAGACAUAUUUGUUGCACAGCAUAGCAGAUGUCGGGACGAGUAAACAUGAGGUAUUGCAGUGCACCGGCAAGGCUGCGAUAAAGAGUAGGGUCAACAACGGGGGGUCCAGUGGUCGAAGACAACUUGCUCUUUGUGUCAACCGACAAAAGACAAGGGUUGCAGGAAGCCAUGUGUGCACGCUCUAGUAUCUCGUCGGCGUACUUGCGUUGAGAGAGAAAUAGCCCAUUCGACGAGCGAGUAACUGAGAUGCCGAGAAAGUAGUGAAGAUCGCCAAGAUCCUUCAUUGCGAACUCUUGAUUAAGGGCAGCGAUGAUAGAGCGGAGCAAUUCAGGUGUGGAGGCCGUAAGUACAAUGUCAUCGACAUACAGCAGAAGGUAGGCGCAUGAACUGUUGCGACAGUCGCGUGAACUGUUGCGACAGUACACAAAUAGUGAAGUGUCGGACUUGCAUUCUCUGAACCCCAUGGUAGUAAUGUGAGAUGAAAAACGCUUGUACCAAGCACGUGGUGCCUGCUUGAGACCGUAGAGUGCUUUGUUGAGACGACACACGUGGGUGGGGCGAGAUGGAUCGACGAAUCUGGGAGGUUGCUCGCAGUAGACAGUUUCAGAGAGAUCGCCAUGUAAGAAGGCAUUUUUCACAUCAAGCUGGUGGAUUGGCCAUGAUCGUGAGAGAGCAAUACUGAGAACUGUUCGAACAGUGGCUGGUUUGACAACUGGGCUAAAAGUCUCGUCAAAGUCGAUGCCAGCCUGCUGGUGAAACCCACGAACAACCCACCGUGCUUUGUAUCGCUCAAGAGAGCCAUCAGACUUGAGUUUCUGUUUGUAUAUCCACUUACCAGAAAUAACAUUAGUGAACGGGGGGCGGGGCACAACAUUCCAAGUAUUGUUUUUAAUUAAAGCAGUAUAUUCCUCAAUCAUGGCGUUUCGCCAGUUUUGGUCAAGAAGAGCUUGGCGAUAGUUGGUGGGAAUGGAAGAGGUAGAGGACGCAACGAGAGAGAAAGGGACUUUGGGUUUGUGGAUGCCCACUUUACUGCGAGUCACCAUAGGGUGAGAAGGGGGAGGUGGGGGAGGUGUGGGAGUAGGGGAAGGAGAUGUGCAAGUAGUAGAAGGGGUUGUGAGCUGGCCGUGGUCGAGAGGUGGUGCUGCAGGAGAAACAGGUGUUGGCUGUGUUAUAGGACUGUUGGACGAACUGUUGGAAGAGGGUGGUUCACUGUUGAAACAGUUGGAUGAACUGUUGCAACAGUUAAACGAAGUCUGGGGGAGGAGGAACAGGGAGGGUGUGUGUUCGUCCAAGGCAGAAGGAGGAAGUGUGUUUUUGGGGAGAGUAGACUCUGCAAAAGGAAAGUUAGUUUCGUCGAAGGUAACAUGACGAGAAAUUAUGAUUCGGCCAGUGGAUCUAUCAAGGCAACGAUAGCCUUUGUGAGAGGAAGGGUGACCGAGAUAGACACAAGGAGUAGAACGGGGGGCGAGUUUAUGUGUUGUGGUGGCGGUGAGAUUGGGAUAACAGAGACAGCCGAAUACUCGAAGAUGAGAGUAUGUAGGUUUGAUGAGGUAAAGAGCUUCGUGAGGAGUUCGGUUUUGUGUGGUUUUGGUAGGUAAGAUAUUGAGUAGGUGUGUGGCCAUAUGAAGGGCUUCGACCCAAUAAGUAGGAGGAAGAUGAGCUUGAAAGAUGAGGGAUCGAAUCAUGUUAGUUAUAGUGCGGAUCAUUCGUUCUGCGUGUCCGUUUUGAGGGGAGGUGUGGGGACACGAAAAACGAUUUAGGAUGCCGUGUUUAGUGAAGUAGUUUUGAAAAUCCGUAUUUUUGAAUUCACGACCAUUAUCACUUUGUAAGGCUUUCAGGGGAUGUUGGAAUUGAGUUUUGAGAAGUGUAUGAAAAGUGACAAAGGUUGUAAAAACAUCGGAUUUAUUUCGAAGAGGAAAAGUCCAUAAAUAAUGGGUAAAAUCAUCAACUAACACAAGAUAAUAUUUGAAACCCGUAAAACUAGAAACAGGAGAAAUCCAUAAAUCAGCAUGAAUAAUUUGAAAUGGGGCAACAGUAGUAGAUUUUUGAGAAAAAAAUGGUAGACGAAAAUGUUUGCCUAAUUGACAAGCAUUACAAAGAGACUCCCCAGGGUCUUUAUUAUGGGAAAGAAAAGUGCUAGAAAAUAAACGAGACAUGACGUGUUUGCCGGGAUGGCCUAGACGCCGAUGCCAAAGAGUGCGAGAUGAAGGUGUUGCGAUAGUGAGGAAGGCAGCGGGAGGGGGGGUGGGGGGAGGGAUUUUAAAUGGAUAUAGGUCACCGGAGCUAUUGCACCUAAAAAUCUCGACUCGACUCCGAAGAUCCUUCACAGAAAAACAAAACGGGUCAAAUUCAACCGAACAUGAGUUGUCGCAGGUGAACUUUCGAACAGAGAUAAGGUGUUUGACGAUAUUGGGUGUGACAUAGACAUUUGUGAGGCGGAAAAGAGUGGUGGGAAGAAUUGUGUGGCCUAUGUGGGUUAUGGGGAGGGUGGAACCAUUACCGACGACGACAUGUUUGGGGAAAUGACUGCCAGAAUUAAAAACAAAAUUGAAAUUACCUGGGUGCGGUGCCAUAUGAGAGGUCGCCCCGCUGUCCAUGAACCACUGUGACUCGGUAGGCUGCUGAAGUGUCACCGUAUUCAAACGGUUUGCGAGAUCCACCACGUUGGCACUGUUGCAGGAACUGUUGCAACUGUUGAUGAAACUGUUAGUGUUGUGGCAUGGUUGUUGUUGCGGAUGAACCUGAGUAGGAGCCGAGUGGCCAGUGUAGGCUUGAGCCGCUGGAGUGGAUGAGUGGCCCGAUGUAUUUAGAGCGGAUCCCAGAAUUGACGGAUGUCGGUAAGGUGCGCGCCAGAGUUGAGAUGCGCCAUGGGCACUUUGGUAGCCGUAGUGCUGCAUAGGGUGACGGUUAGUGUUGCAACCUCCGCGACGGUUGGAUCGGCCACCCCCGCGCUGAUAACGCGAAGAACUACCUCCGCGGGAACUGUUCCAGGAACCGUUGCAACUGUUGUAUGGACAGUUCGCGUUGGAGGCGUAGAGAACAGCAGCGGUCUGCUCCGGUUCAGCGAUUCUGGUUUCUUCCAUCUGAAGAAGAGAUCGAGUCUGUAGAAAAGUGGGAAGGGGAUUCUGAAAGGAGAUUAGGUUGGCGACGGUCCCGUAAUGUUUCGGAAGGCCGUGUAGGGUUUGUAGGACGAGUUGUUUGUCGGAGAUUGGAUUUCCGACAUCGGCCAAGUUGUCCGCCGUGGUUUUGAUUAUUUUGCAAUAAUCGUGAAUGGAGAGAGCGCCUUUCUUGAGGGACUUGAAUUUUUCUUCAAGUUGAAUGGCUCGAUAAUCUUUGUUAUCGGUGAAGAGAGAAGAGAUGGCGAUCCAUAGGUCACUAGCGGUGGAGGUUUUUGAGAGAACCAUGCUGGACAGAUCGUCGGAGAUGGUGCCGUAGAUCCAAGAUUGGAGGAGAUAGUCGGCGCGUUGCCAUUCGUCGGCGGAAAUCGAAUCCGGUCGGGGUUUUCCAUGUAGAAGGUCGGAGAGGCAGAAACGACCGACGGUAAUUGUGAAAAAGUGGCUCCACUUUUGAUAAUUAGGAUUUUUUAGAUCUAGGGUAAUGGGGAUGAGAGAUUUAAUAUUAGAGAUGGCAUGAGCAAGGUGAAAAGUAUUGAGAGGGGCGGUGGAGGGAGAAGAAGCUUCGCCGGCCAUGGAGAAGAAGGGGGGCAACGGCUAUGAAGAAGUAGAGAAGAAGAGAAGAAGAUGUGGUGACGGCUAGGUUAACCUAGUCUCUGAUACCAUAUAGGAGAAUUAGGUUUUGGAGAAAAGAGACAAUGAAUUAUCUCUCACGUAUAUUAAUCAUAUAUAUAGUUAUUAUGUAGGAAACCCUAAUCCUAACUACACAAGGUAACCUAUUAUAUAAGGUAACUAGAAUAAAUAGGAAUAAUAAUAAUAUACGUAAUAUAUAUAUAAUAUAUACGCUAAUAUUUAGCUUUCGAUUCAACGAAACUUAGAAACGAAUUAUUGCUAGGAAUUAAACUUUGUGCAUUGCAUUUGUUGAAUGUUUUGUAUUUUAAAUUUGGAAUUAAUUUAUGUUAGAUCAUGCUAUGUUCGGCUUUAGAGCUCACCUAAGGAAAUUUACCAUACGAAGUAUUGACUAGUGAGUGAUUUGGGAUAUCAUUUGUGCCUUCUUUGAACUGUUUGAGCCUUUCAAGCCGACAUUUUUAUAAAAAUUAUCCUUGGAACCUUGAUUUGAGCCUCGGAGAAAAGGUGUUCUUUCUUUUAGCAAAUGCGUGUAAGAUAGAAUAGAUGGAAAUUCCUGAAAAAUCCCCUUGGAGUUUGGUUGGAAAAUUUUGUAAAAUUCCUUCUUCUUCCUCUUCUAAAAAAAAUCAAAAAUCAGAAAAAGAAGAGAAGAAGAAGAAGAAGAAGAGACUAGAAUGGAGAAAAAAUGACUAGUUUUUGAAAGCUCAAUCCAUUGUCUUAAGAGAAAAAGAAAUCAACUUUUGUAAUCUUGAAAAUCGAGUUUAUUAAAGUCCUUAAGAGGUGAAUUCAUUGUUUCAAACGCCUAUCUUUCAAAUUUUGGCGUAAUCACCUCAAUUCAAGAAGAAUAUCCACUUAUACCCAUAUUUCCUACCUCGAACCAAAGAGCCACAAUUAAAAGCCAAAAAUCCCCAAUGAUCCCAAUAGCUUAAUAUUCGGUAUUAGUAGAAUAGAAGAAUUUGGUGAGUAUUUGGAGUCAAACAUAUGUAUGUAAACAUAAUUUUUUUCUAUUUUUAAUUUACAACUAUUGAAUGAUGUUGGCCUAAAUACCUAACACGCAAGUGCACGUAUCGCAAACAAGUAGUAAAAGUGGACUCGUGAAAGUCGGAUGUCGAUCCCACAUGGAAUACUCAAAUUACCUAAUCCUAAGUACCAAAUUCUAAUAAUUAUGAUUCUUAACCAUCCAACGCAAAGUUGUCAAAUUUAAUCAACUAAAUAAUUAAACUAAUUAUAAAACAAAAUAAACAAGAGAGAAUAUCAAUAAAAACGGAUCUAGAAUUUUAUCUUCCCCCUAUGCGAUAAAACGUCACUCAAUUAAUCAUCUAUCAUGCAAGUUACAAUCCCUGAUUAUUAACCCGAGACACUAAAUUACUCAUAACCCGCUGUCGCGUGUAUUAUGAGUCUAUUAUUCAUAAACGGUUCACUAUAUGUCUAUGCAAACCAAUUAUGAAUAAAGCAUUAACUAAAAAGUCUCGUAAACAGCUACCUAAGGUGAUAUUUGUAUGUCUACAACACCACAUGCAAUUGACACACUCAUCCGGUGAUUACUACUCGAGGGUUCUUCUAUCCCCGUUCUAAUUAUUAAAACGAUUUGUCGAUUCAAUUCUAAUAAUAACAUAUAGCGACAUAAAUUAGCUACGUUCAUGCACUAAAUAAGAUCAUGUAGAAGAAAUAAUCAUGGAAUUAAACUUGCAUAAUAUUAGAAAAAUAAGUUUGAAUUAGGGAUGGCAACGGGUCAGUUCUGGGCCGGGUUGCGUAAAUCCAGGACCCGACCCACGAAAAAUAUAUAAACCCAAGACCCGCCCCACCCCGUUUUAGUUUAAACCCAGACCCGCCCCAACCCACGCCCUAACUAAACGGUUCAGACCUGUCAGACCCGCUAGACCCAUUAGUAUACAAAACGUUUAAUAUUUUUUAACUUUCAUAACAUUUUGCUUGUAUAUUUUUACGAAAUAAUCUCAAUACUAAAAUACAAUAUUUUAAAAAAUCUCUACAAGUGAUAUAACUUAACAAUAAAAUUACAAUGAAUUAUAUUUAACUUCGAUAAUAAGUAAAAUUCAAAAUGCAAGACAAUUAGCGGUGGUCGACAAGUGAUAAAUAUUAGAAAUGAAAUUCGAAAAAAAAAAACAGUGAAAAUAGGUAAAUGAUAAUAGACAAGAUGGAAAUUGAUAGUUUGAUAAAUGAAAUCCGCAAUUAUAUGUGUAUAUAUAUAUAUAUAUAUAUAUAUAUAUAUAUAUAUAUAUAUAUAUAUAUAUAUAUAUAUAUAUAUAUAUAUACGGGUCAGUUUUGGGUCGGUUCCAAUAAGACCCGUAACCCGAUCCAGAACCAUACGGUUCUAGAAAUUUAAACACAUUGCCCGACCCAGAACCAUUUAGCUGACCUAGACCCGCCCCAAACGGGUCGGUUCCGGGUCCAAGACCCGCCAAACUCAUACCCAUUGCCAUCCCUAAAUUGAAUCACCACAUAGGGUUCUAAUAAAAUCCUAGAUUAAAAACUUACCUACUCAUGUUCUUUACGAAAAACAUAAUAGAAAUAAUAUAAAAAGACAUAGAUUUAGAAAAGAUAUAUAAAAGAAGAAUUAUGAUGAAGAUUCGUUAAGUCUUCGUCUUCGAUUCUUCGUUCUCUUGCUUCUCUUGCUCUCGGAUAGUGUAAAAAGAUCUCCAAUUCGUGCUUGGUCUUUGCCCUUAAAUAGAUGUCUCAACUUGGUAGAAGAAUUAACUUUCCUUGUGUGAUUAAAAGUCCAAAAUUGCUUACAGCGUGUUUUCACACGGCCGCGCGAGAAUUAGUACAAUUCUCACAAGGCCGCCCCUGAAUAGCCGAAGCUUUAUGCCCAAAUUCUGCAGUUGGCUCAGCCGUACCAAAAAGAGGCUAAAUCUCGCACGGCCGCGCCAGGCCAAUUUUCAGCCUCCGAAUGUCUUCUUCCGUUUUUUGCCCGUUUUUGACAUUUUUUCGCUCGUUUGAUCCUUGGAGCUCCCAAAUCUUCAAAUUGUACCUAAAAUACAAUAAAACACUUAUUAAACACCAUUAAAUCAAUAAAAGUAUACAAAAAUCCUCGUAAGAAAGUAACAUUGAGUGUAAAGUAUACACUCAACAGAUGCUUGAAGCAAUUGCAUGAAUUGCGAUUUUUGGCAAUGGUAAGUGACUAAGUGCUUUUGAAUUGACAACAUGCGAAUGUUUAAGAAUUUUCAUUAUAAUUAGAGUAAAAAGCAGUUUGCCCCCUAAACAAAUGGCCGUUUCGCACUUUGCCCCCCAAACAAAAAAAUUUUGCACGUUUUUACCUAAACUUCGGUUUUUGUUGCACGGUGCCUCAAAAUUGGAAUAUUCCGGCCAUUUUGACCGGAAUCUUACACACGUGCUUUUCACGUGAGUUUUAAAGGGGCAAAAUAGUCUAUUCACUUACAUUCUUCAUAAAUUAAAAAAAAAAAAAAAAGAAAAAAAAAAAGAAAGAAAGAAAAAGAAGAAGAAGACGGUUGGAAAAUGUGCAAUUGGAGACAGAACAUGUCAACACAUUCGACGAGCUGGAGGAGGAAGUACUCUCCGCCGUCAGAUCCAGAUUCCACACCGUCUACACGAUCGGCCCCCUCUAGCUUCUCGAGAAGGAGAUUUACGGCGGCGGCGGCGACGCCAUCGGAUCGAAUCUGUGGAAGGAAGACAUGGAGUGUUUGGAGUGGCUGGAUAAGAAGCAAAACGACGCCGUUCUGUACAUCAAUUUCGCAGCAUUACGCCGUCAUCGGCGGGGCAAAUGGUUGAGUUCGCGUGGGGUUAGGCGCAGAGCAACCACCAAUUUCUGUGGAUAAUCCGACCCGAUUUGGUUGACGGGAAGGGUUCGGUUCUGCCGGAGGGGUUUCUGGAGGAGACGAAGGGGCGGGGUUUGCUUGUCGGGUGGUGCCCGCAGGAGAAGGUUCUGGCACACGCGGCGGUGGGGGGGUUUCUGACACACUGCGGGUGGACCGUGGAAGUCGACGGUGGAGACUAUAUCGGAGGGGGUUCCGAUGGUGUGCUGGCCGUUUUUUGUGGAGCAGCAGACGAAUUGCAGAUUUUCCAACAGUCUUCUUCUUCUUCUUUUUCUUUUUUUUUUUUUUUUUUAAUUUAUGAAGAAUGUAAGUGAAUAGACUCUUUUGCCCCUUUAAAACUCACGUGAAAAGCACGUGUGUAAGAAUGGCCGGAAUAUUCCAAUUUUGAGGCACCGUGCAACAAAAACCGAAGUUUAGGUAAGAACGUGCAAAUUUUUUUUGUUUGGGGGGUAAAGUGCAAAAUGGCCAUUUGUUUAGGGGGUAAACUGCUUUUUACUCUUAUAAUUACAAGUUGAAGUUGGUCAUUAAUCUAUGUGAUGAGGUUCACUAGUUGAGUUAUUUGCUUAUGAUUAGUUUUUGCUCGAGGACAAGCAAAAAUUCAAGUUUGGGGGUGUGUUAAGUGUAUAUUUUUAUACUUAAUUAUAUCUUUUAAUUGUAGCUUUUAGUUUAUUUUAUUAAUAAUUGGUGCUUAAAGUUUUAAUAUAUUGUGUUUCAGGCACAAAUUGAAGAAUUGAAUAAGUGGAGGGUCAAAACUACAAUUUAGAAGAAAAUGUGGACAAAAUUGGAAAGUAAAACAUCCGAGAAUGAAGGACUGCACAGUAAAGAAACUUCAAAGAGUUACAAGAAAACUGCAUUUUUUCCGAUUUUUCCCACCCUAUAAAAAGCCAUCUCAAGCACACAAUUAGGAGUCCUAUUUUUACGCAAUUUCUAGAGAAAAGAAGCUAUAACGAAGACGAAGAAUUCGAAGACUCCAAACAUAGUUUUAUCUUCCAUGAUUUAUUUUAAUUUCUUUGUUACUUUAAACAUGAGUAGCUAACUCUUUUAUUUCUAGGAUUUUGUUUCGAGCCCUAUGUGGGAUUUAUGAACUCUUUUCUAUGAUUUUAUGCAAGUUUUAAUUCUGGAUCAUUUCUUCUACUUGUUUUAUUAAGUGCAUGAAACUUGCCACAUUAUGUGAUUUUAUGUUAUUUUUAAUCGGAUGAAUCGGAGCAUUGGGUAAUAACUAGAACAUGGGUAGAAGAGCCUUUGUAGUAUUAACAUAGGAAUAUAGUUAACCUCUUAGAUAGCCGUUAUUGAGAUUUGUGGGUCAUGAUGUGUUCUAGAAUUAAUUGCGUAGGAAUACAGUAAUUGAAUCUAGAAUAUUUGAAUCAUAAUACACGUGGAAGCGGGUUAUGACUAAUUUAGCAUCUCAGAUUAGUAAUCCGAUUUAAUCACUUGCAUAAUUGAAGGAAUUGGGGAAUUAAUAAUCACAUGGGGAAGAAUAAAACCCUAGGCUUGUUUUCUCUGAUUAAUCUUCGUGUUAAUUGUUUUCUUGCUCUUGUCUUUCUAAUUUGCUUUAAUCCAGUUUAGUUAAUUUAGAAUAAUUAAUCAUCUUUCGACUGUGUAGCGUGGGCUUGAUCACAAUUGGUAGAAUUUAGCGUCUACAAUUAAGUAAUUAAAUAUUAUCUGUGGGAUCGAUACUUGGACUUUUAGUCCAUUAUAUUACAAGUACGAUAUGUGCACUUGCGUGUAAGUAUUACCACGAACAGAGUUCAUUAAAUUUUAUACAAUAAGAAGAUGAUUCUUUGACUAUAAACUCUUCAAACUUUGUUAUGUUACUUCUUAUUCAAACAUAGAAUAUCUAGAACAUACUUCAAUAAAAAAUCUAGACAAACGACGCUAUAAUACAUUUGAUGCUCCAUCUUGAUAAGACUCCAUCUCAUCAAACCAUGAUCUAACUAAUAGCCUUCAGCUACUCCACAUUGGAACAGCUUAUCAGUCCAUCACUUAAAAUAAGAAUUGAGAUCAAUUUAACAAUCUGUCUAGUUGGCUAAAAAAAAAAAAAGAUUACACUUACAAUUAUAGAAAAAGGUUGACAGUUACCAAAAAGAAUGCACAACCGAUGUUGUCACUUGAUAUACAGAGUGGAAGAACAAAGUGGAUCUUUGGCUCACGAGCUUGAUAACCUUGAGAUACCUUGAGAUACAUGUGAUCAUAGAAUGUAACACCCCGCAUUUUCGGUAAAAUAUUAUUAUUUUAUUUUACCACCUCUAUGUGCAAAUUUAUGAAAUUGGGAUUUAGAAUAAUUUUUGCAUGAUUAGUAGUUACGUAAAAAUUAGGUGUGUGAAUUAUGUGAUUAUGUGAAAUAUAUGAUUAUGUGAAAUGAUUAUGUGAAUUAUGUGAUUAUGUGAAAUAUAUGAUUAUGUGAUUAUGUGAAUUAUGUGCUUAGGAAAUAUUUUGAGAUAUUAUGUCAAAAUAAAUUAUUUUUCAUAAAUUAUGAUUUUAUUCUUGCAUAUGAACUUAAGUGAGCAUUUUAUCAUAUUUAUGCAUGCACAAAAAUUUUAGAAAAUAAAUAUUUUCUCAUGCAUUUUAGGAUUUUUAAUUAGUGGAGAAUAUUAGAAAAUCAUCCCCUCAUUUUCUUGAUUUUUCGGACAUCAACACACACACACACACACACACACACACACACAUGAUUUAAAAAUUUGUACAUUAAUUAGGAAUAGACAUGCAUUAAUGUGGUUGUACCUUGAGCAUAAAAUAAAAUACCUAAAAGCUAGUCUCCCUACUCACUAGCUAGGCUUGCUUUUUCACUCCCACACUCCACUUUAAGUAGACCAAAGGUCUUUCUUUUUCUCCCUUCCUUCUACAUUUCGGCAGCCACUCUCCACCACCAUAGCCACCACCUUCUCAAGCUUGAACCACCCAAGAACCACCACCACUCCUAUUUUCAAAAAUUGCAAAAUCACCCCCACAAAAAAAUGUAUUUCCCUUUCUUCUCCAUUGGCUUUGAACUCUCCAAAAACUCUAUAAAUACCUCCAAUGUCCAAGAUCAAAAUGCACUCUCAAACUCCACUCUUACUAUCUAUAAGUUUAAGGUCUCUUUCUAUUUCAAUAGAAGGAGAAUUUUCGGCCAAUGCUAAGUAAGCUCUUCUUCCUCUUCUUUCUUCUUCAUUUUUUUCAAAAAGAGCUAAGCUCUUCCUCAUCCAUGUUAUUCUUGUUCUUCUUCUUCUUCUUUUCUUAAUAUAUAAUCUAACCUUAAUCUCUUCUUGUAUUACAGAGAAAAGAGCUAACAAAUCCUUCCUCUAAAGAGUAGAGGUGAGAAUUCUUGAAUUCUUGCUCAAACAUGCAACAGCACUAGUAUUUUCGGUUUUUAUGUGAUUUAUUUGUUGAUUCUUGCAUAUUAUGUGAUUAUAUGGCUUCGAUGAUGAUUGCGUGUUAGUGUUUUGAAAAUAUAACUUUGUUCUUGAAGUUUUAUGCUUUUUCGAAAAUUUGGGGAAAACUUCUUAAAUUGCAUAUUUGGCUUAAUUAGUGCGCCUUGCAUGUGUUUAUCUACUGUUUGAUUGUUGAUGUGUGAAAAGAAAUUGAUGUUUUGGGCUUAAGUAUGAGUUUUUUGAAAAUUUGGGGAAAAAUGCUUAAAUUGUUUAUUUGGCUUAAUUAGUCAUUUGCAUGUGUUUAUCUAGUGUUUGAUUGUUGAUUUGUGAAAAGAAAUUGAAUCUUUGACUAAACUAUGGAACUUUGAAUUUUGAGAUAAAGUUACUUAAAAUUGCUUAUUUGGUUUAUUUGGCAUCUUGCAUGUGUUGAUCUUGUGUUGGUUGUUGUUUUAAGGCCUUGCAUGUUAAGAUUUAGUGAUUGAUUGUUGAUCUAAGGUCUUGCAUGCUAAGAUCUAGUGAUUGAUGGUUGAUCUAAAGUCUUGCAUGUUAAGAUCUAGUGUUUUCUAUGAAAAAUGAUGAAAGAACUAAGAAAUUGUGCUAACAUGAUUAAAAGAGACUCUUGCAUGUGUCGAUAUAGUGAAUUUACUUGAAUAAAUGUAAAGAUGAAAAUCUUGAAUUAUAUUCUUGUAAAAUGUUAGAUUUAAUGAACUUUUGAUUAUAGAUUGUCUUUGCAUGUUAAGAUUUCGGUUAUUUCUUGAAUUUGAUUAUGGAUUAUAUUUGUAUGCCUAAAUGACUAUGUGAAACUUUAAUUGUGUUUAGCUAUGUGCUCUUGCUUGUUUAUGUGUUGAUCAUUGGGUGUGAGGAUGAGAAAAGGGUAAGUAGAGGGGUUCAUGUGUGGGUGCAUUACUGUCAUGAUUUUUAAAAGGUAAAAAUAUGUUGGAAAGUCUUUCGAGGUUACGGUAAAUAUCCGGGGUACGACGAGUCGGUACCGUAGGUCCUAGGGGUGGUUUGAUUCCACGUAGAUAGACGGAUUCGUAAAAUAUGAGGUUAUUUACCGGGAACUUAGAUUGAUUCUUCCAAAGGGAUUCCCGAUAAUUUUUCAUAUCAUGCAUGUUUCAUUAUGGUGUUGAGGAUAUAGAUGGGAAAAUCUCACUCUAUGGUCUUGGGAUCGUAGGGUUAUAAAGGUGGAUAUUCUCAUUCUAUAAUCUUCAAUACGUGUCAUGGCAUAGGGUUAUAAAGGUGGGAUAUUCUCACUCUAUGGUCUUGGAAUCAUAGGGUUACAAAAGUGGGAAUUUAUCUUACUCUAUGCGUGUGACAAUUAUGUGACGAAGAACUCCGACGGAAAAUGGAAGUAUAUGAUUGCUUUAAUUUAUGUUGCAUGUCUAUGUAUAAGAUAUUUAAUGUAUAUAUAUGUAUAUAUGUAUGAUCUAUGUGUUAUGUGUAUUCGAUAAUACUUCAAGAUUCUCAUUGAGCCCUCAAAGGCUCAUAUAGGUGUUGUAUGUUUGUAGGUAUACCCGAUUUGGAGCCUGAGGUGUGAAGUUGGGAAUCGAGCUUAAGAAUCGGAAGGAGAUCGUAUGGAGGGGGUUGUGGAUUGUACUGGCUCUUAACUUAGUUAUGUGGUUUUAUUUGUAUAAUAUGCCUGUAAAGACUUUUGACACAGGUAUUUUCUACCGUUCGCUUCCUCCGAUCGGUGGAAAUUACUAAAAGACAAUAUGUGUAUAAGUAAUUAGGAUUACCCCUUUUGGAUAUUUAAUCGGUAAUCCGCAGUAUUUUGUAAACGAAAGCGAAUUGUUCUAACUAUAUGCAUGCACGCUUUUCGGCUAGUAUCCUCUUCGUGUUUUGUCUCGAUGUUUAAAAAUUAUUUUCAUAUAGGUGCUUAGAAAAUCAUGAAACUUUAGGAGUCUUUGCAUCUCUCUGUUCUCAUCAUUUUGAUAGGUUGUUUUUCAUGAUUUGGGUAAGUAUUUCAUUAGUUAUGAAUUAUUUCUUGCUACUGCACUAAAACAGGGUAAGUCUAGUGUUUUCUGUUAUAACUAGACUUUUACUCACUCAAAUUCAUUGUUUCUACUUGGAAAAAUGUUUUAAACUUAUUCUUCUGCCUUGGGGUAAAAAUUGUUAGUUUUUGGGUCGGUGAGGAAUUUAUUAUGAAUUUUCAAAACUCCCUCCCCUGUUCUAGAUUUUAAAUUGAGUGACUGUGCCAUUUUAUUUAUUUCUCCCAAACAGUCAAGUAUCUUUCAGAACAGUUUUGACUGAGUGAUUAAGACCCAUGAUAGAUGGUAUGGUAUUAUUUUGGAGUCAAUUGCAUGAGUAGUUUAAGAGGAAUUAAUUUUUAAAGUUGUUGCACUGAAUCUGUUCGAAUUUUCAUUAGGUCCAUCAUACCUAGUUAUUUUCUAGUCUUGAUUUAGUAUGUAUUUGUGUUAAUUGUUUUAUUAGGGUAGUAUAGUGUGACCUCUCUCCCUCUGAUUUAAAAAGAAUUUUUUUUACGUAAAUUUUAUAUCCACGAAAAUCAUUUUAAAAAAGUCUUCCGCUGAGAUUACAUAUAAUAAGAGUAAUCGAGCAUGGGGUGCCACAUAGAAACCCCUCCGACGCUUAUGUCAGACGUGCGGAUAGUAGUAAUAGUCCCUAAUACAUAUGGUAGUAUUACUCAGAUAAUAUGACGUACCGUAAUGAAUGAAUUCAAACCUUUAUUUAUACCUCAUUGAUUGGGAUGAAGUUUAAUUAGUUGAGAUUGUCGGGCUAAAACCUUAUUUGAAGGUGAUUGGGCCUCGGAAGUAGUGGUCUUCAAUAUUGGGCUUGUAGCCAGUGGAUAAAGAAAUUGUAGGCCUAUUGGGUUGGCCCAAUAAGUCAUAUCACUAAGCCCCCCACUCUCGAGUCGAUGUGGAGGCCAUGUCGAAAUGGGUUCCCGAUCGUGUCGAGAGUAAAACUUGUAGUAGUCCCGCGUUGGCGUAUGGUCUAGUGGUGUGCAAAAACAUGUUGGAGCGUGGGUCAGAGGGGUGCGAAGGCGCGUUGGUGCGUGGCCGGACCCUUGAGACGGUAGUUCGGGGCGUGAUCAGGUUGUCGCGAUGGAAGUUACUUGAGUCAUCAGAUUUGUUUCGCGAUGAUGUAGUAGCAUGGAGCGAUUCUCUCCUCGUGGGAAUUGUUUCGUCGCGGGGUAAUAGAGUUGACCGAGUUAUCUCCUCAUGGGAGUUAUCUCGCGACAAUGUAGUGGCACGGGGCGAGUUAUCUCCUCGUGGGAGUUGUUAUUUAUUGACAUUGUCAAUGGUUUGACGUGUUGCUUGUAUGUGUUUACAUAUAGCCUUGUGCGUGAUGUACUUGAUGAGUGGAUCAGGCUCUCAAGAUUUUGUUGAAGAGGAUCGUGCCCCUUGUUAGACCUCGUGGGUCGUAAGUAUGUUUGGACCGUGGCCACAUUUUAAUGAAGGACCAGUCGAAAACAAGUAGAGAAAUUUGAGUAAUCAAGCUGGCCAGGCUAUAUAGAUCCCCAUAAUAUCUCGAAGUGUUUCUACGGUUGUAAUCGUGAUAUCUUGAUGUGGUGAUUGUGUAGUGAAUUUGUUUAUUCACUGAUUGCAAGCGAGUUGUCUCCUCGAGGGAGUUGUUUGCUGGACUGUUGAAUGACGCGCAAUGGAGGAGCGCGCGGGUUGAGGUCGCUUUGAGUGAGUUGUCUCCUCGUGGGAGUUGUCUCGUAGCGACUCGUAGUGGCGAGCGAGGUGGCUCCUCGUGGGAGUUGCUUCGCAACAGGUUCGUAGGACCGAGUGAGUUGGCUCCUCCUGACACUUGUCUCGCUGUGGGUUCGUAGUACCGAGUGAGUUGGCUCCUCGUGGAAGUUGUCUGUUAGAGUAGGUGACCGAAGAGCCAACUAAUUGUUGUGUUUUCUCACACUACUCGUAAAUAAUCUAUUUUGUAUUAUUGAUAAAAAAAACCCCUUUCGCAUUCUAUAUAUUUAUCCCUUGCAUAAGCAUAAAUGUAGUCCUUACAGUUACUUAAUUACUAUAAAUAGAUCUAGUAGAAUCAUGAGAUUAUUUAUUUAAGUAUAGUAACUGUGAAACAUCGUUCCUAGCCAACGGGUUACGCCACUAAUGAGGAUAUCGGCAUUUGUCAUUCGAGACUAGCACUUAGUGUAUGUGUACUGCGUCUCAUCAGUCAAUGAUGUUGUGACAUCGGCAUACAUAAGUGGGUGUUCAUAAGUUGAUGAGUUCACUGAACUCCCUCAUUCUAGAGAUCUCUAAGUGGUUCCCAAUAAUUGAGUAGAGGUUUCUAUGAUAUAGUUGUACACCAUACUUAAGACGCGGCCGUGACUUCACUAGAGGACCAGCUGACCUUUUUCUGAGUUCCACCGAGGACCGCCCCAAGGGCCAGUGUUCGUGCAGACUGAAAUCUAGUGGGAGGUCUACGCAUUGUAGUAGGGGAUUCGAUCGCUUGAUCAGUCAUGGAUAUCCUGAGUGUUCUUGCGAUUUACAAUCCAUGACGUCCGUGGCCACAUGUCAAAGUGUCGUGAUUAAAGAAAUAUGUUUCUCUAAGUCAAACACGAAUGGAAUAUAUAAUCAAGAACAUCCACACAGUUAUUGAACUCAUAAAGAGGUCUCGAUGAACCAAUGCCUCUAGUUCAAUCAGGAUAUAUAUAUAUUGAAGGGAUCGUACUGUACGUUAACUAUAUCACACGGUUCUUGCAGGCACUUCAUUUGUAUCUAGGGAAUCAUGAUGCAUAGUUUCUAGACGCCAAUCUUGAUUCGUUGCGUAGUUAAGUUGAAACUAGCUUCAACUUAAUUAUAACUCUAGGGACAAGUUUAAACCACAAUGCGUUGUGGGCCCACGACUAGCUUACACCUGAACCAUCGAGGGUCACACUGCUCGUGUACUUGAGAUCCUUAAUGCAACGAGCUAAGAUUAAUUAGUUAAUCUUUGUGUAAUUGGAAGUCAAUAUGAUUGAGUCUAACAUUCAUAAUUGUUAAUUACGGAUGAGAAUAAGUAGAGGAAAAGAAUCCGACGGAAAUUUAGUGAACUUUCUAUAGUGGGAAGUUUCCCGAUUUGGCAAGUCCUAAGGGUUUCCAAUUUUAGAAAUUGGUAAAUUGCAAAGUGGUACUCGUAUCGACGAGAAUUUGUGCUCGCUGUCAAAAUAUAAUUGUUAUAUUUUUGUGAGCAUUCGUUUGUUAGAAACGAGCCGAGAAAGAUAGUGGACUUAAUUGUUGGAGCCUAGCUCAACUUAAUGUCUGUUAGGGUUUUCACAAGGAGCAUAUAAAUAGGAUUUAUAUGUCUUGUGAAAGACACACAAAAACAAGGAAACGUAAGAAUGAAACCCAAGCAUCUCUCCCUCCAUCAGCUAUCCACCUUGCAGUCGAAACCCUACCUCCGCCACCAGCCGCCGAAACCCUACCUCCGCCACCAGCCGCCGCAACAUCGGCAUCUUCCUUUUCCCUUGUUCUUCUUCGUUGUACUUAGCCUAUCACGUAUCUAGUGUUGCGUGUAUCGUGGAUUGAAUAUACGAGGUGAAACCUAAGAAGAGGAAGAUUCUUCUGUCGCCAACGCCGCAACCACGAUUGUCUCCACGCGCUUGCACGCGCCGCCACAAGCCGGUGGUGCGAUAAGGCAAUUGUGAAAAUCUGCUCUCGUAUUUUCUGCGCAGUCCAGCGAGAAAAUUUGCCAUAAAUCAACCAACGCUUGGAUGGAUGUGAAAUUUCGACAGCAGCUUCCCAUCUUAUGGAUAUACAAUACCCAAAAUGGAAUUGAAGAUCCCGUUAAUAACCAUGGAGAUAUUAAAGUCGGAGCAGAACUGUAAUUUCAGAUCAGCAAACAGGUUGGACUAUAUAUAUAUAUACAUAUAUAUAUAUAUAUAUAUAUAUAUAUAUAUAUAUAUAUAUAUAUAUAUAUAUAUAUAUAUAUAUAUUAAUUGAGAUUAAUAUAUGUUAAUUGAUUAUUGAAUCACAUGAAUCUAUAUGUUCGAUUAUGUGUUUAUGUGAAUUUCGUUGAGCAUGUUUAUUAUUUGGUUUAAUUUCACGAGCACGCUAUGAUGAUUUAAUUUAUGUUAUUUAAAUUAAUUAUAUAUGGGACCAUGUUUGUCGGUGAUUGAAAACGAAAAGGUACGCAAUUAAUUGUAAUAUUGUGCACGUGUUUGUUUAUAUAAAUAAAAUAAAUAAAAAAUUAUCUUCUGUAGCGUACACGUGCCCGAUCCCCAACAUUGUCUCACUGCGGGGACCGGGCGAGUUAGCUCCCCGUGGGAGUUAUCUCGCUGAGGGCUCGUAGUACCGAGCGAGUUGGCUCCACGCUGGAGUUGUCUCGCAACGGGUUCGUAGUACUGAGCGAGUUGGUUCCUCGUAGGAGUUGUCUUGCCACAUGUUUGUAAUAUUGAGCAAGUUGGCUCAUCGUGGGAAUUGUCUCUCAACGGGUUCUUAGUAGCGAGCGAACUGGUUCCUCGUGGGAGUUGUCUCGCUGUUGGUUUGUAAUACCGAGCGAGUUGGCUCUUCGUGGGAGUUGUCUCGGAAUGGGUUCUUAGUACAAAGCGAGUGGGCUCCUCGUGAGAGUUGUCUCGUUGGAGAGUGGUAAGAGCACGCGACUUGGCACGGAGGUCGUGAUCGGUCCCGGGCGCGGAUCUAGUUGAGAGUAGAUCGGCAUCGUAGUUUUGCGUUAAUCAUUGUUAUGCAUAAAUAAUAAUAAAGAUGUCAUUGUUCAUUCCUCUCCGCUUGUUUUUUUAGGGCGGCGAGGGCGUGCUAGGUGGCGGGGCGUGCGCGCGAUGGGCUUGCGGCUAGGGCGCUGGGCGGAUAGUAGAAAUAGUCUAGGUAAUACAUGUUGUAGUAUUACUUAUAUUAUAGGACGUACCUUAAGAAAUGAGUUCAAACAUUUAUUUAUACCUCAUUGAUUGGGCUGAAGUUUAAUUAGUUGAGAUUGUCGGGCCUAUUAGCGUAUAUAUUAUAUAUAUUACGUAUACUAUUAUUAUUCUUAUUUGAGGGCCAAAACCUUAUUUGAGGGUGACUGGGCGUCAGUAGUAUUGGUCUUUAAUAUUGGACUCAUGGCCCAGUGGCACUAGGCCAAAACAGGACACUGGCGACGUUUUUUUUCGCGACGAAAAUAAUUUCGUAGCAAAUUGGCGACGUUAAUAAAUAAAUAUCGUCGCACGUUCCAUCUCGCCACCAAUUUUGAAAAUGAUUGCGACGAAAAUCCUAGAUUCGUAGCAAACAAUUAUAAUUUGGUUUUUUUAAUAAUUAACUAUUGCGACGAAUUAUAAUUUUUCGUAGCAAAAUAUUUAAAUAUUAUUUUAUUUUAUCUUGUUUGCGACCAAAGUAUGUAAACCGUCGCAAGAUAUUUCUGAAAAAUAUUUUUGGGCGACGGAAAUAUGUGAAUCGUCGCAACCUAUGCAUUUAAAAAUUUUAAUUUUAUUUUAUUUGCGACGAAACUUAGAAAUCGUUGCCACAUAACACCAAAAAAAAGUUUUUAGUAAAUUUUACUAGCGACUAAUUACAAUAAUCGUCGCAGCGUAUCUCCAAAAAUAUCUUAUUGGCAACGAAAUAGUAUUUUAUUUGCCAGUGGAAUUUUAAAUGUCACCACCUACCCUAAAGUAAAAUUUACUUUAUUUGCGAUGAAAUUCUCGGAAUCGUCGCUCACGACUUAAUUUAUUCACUUACCCCUCUCCAUUUCUGCCGUUGCCCUAAUAUUUUACUCUCUCUUCCUCCACACUCCCUCCCUUUUCCCGUCAUUCUCACCGCCGAUUAAAUUGACGCUGUCAAUCUUCUCUCCCCAAGUUUACUCACUUUUCUUAAUUUUGCAGACUGAUUUCUAGAGAGAGAGAUGGCGACUAUUGUGGCAGGUGGGGUGGACAGAAAUGCGACGUUGUCGCCGGAGGCGGCGCUUGCUCCGGUGACUGAGGAUCGACCGGUUCGGACCGACUUGGAAACCUCUAUUCCAAAGCCAUGUGAGUUGUUAAUGAAUAUGAUCGAUCCUCUUUUCUAGGUAUAUAUAUAUAUAUAUAUAUAUAUAUAUAUAUAUAUAUAUAUAUAUAUAUAUAUAUAUAUAUAUAUAUAUCUGUGUGUGUGUGUGUGUGUGUGUGUGUGUGUGUGUGUGUGUUUUGGGAUUAGGGUUUCAGAACUGGUGUUUUUUUUCUUCUGAAUUAUGGAUCUUUUCACUGUUGAAUUUGUUCUUCGGGUUUUGGAGAGAUUUGUUGGAUUUUUAGCUUAAUUAAUUAAAGCUAUGGUUCUUGAUUAGGGAAAUUAGGGAGAUUGGGGUAGAAUUUCCACUCAACAGUAGGGGUGCAAAUUGGAACAAUUUUUUUGAUUAUGCUGAUUUUGAUCCGAAAGUUGUUUCGGAUUCUGGAACAAUAUUUUUAAAUUCGUUUCCGAAACUCCAGACUUAAUGAUUUUUCUGAAAUUAUUUGUAUCGGAAGUGGAAUAUAUAUGAGAUUUCAUUGUAGUUUCGAAAAUAAUUCCAAAAAUUCCAUGUUGUUUUCAGAAUAUUACAAUUAAAAUACAAAUUAUUAUGUAUUUUAUGUUUAAGGUGAGCGAAAAUUGGAAAAUUCCGAAUUAUGCAGAUCAAGUUUUUGCCUCCGAAUUUUUGAAAUCCUGAUUUUCGAUUUUUUCCAAAUCGGAACGGAAUUGAAACUAAUAGGUUUUUUUUUUUUUGGCAUAGUUACAGUUGGGUAGAUAUAAUAACCAUUGGAUCAUACAUCAUCUUAGAUAUGGCAAGGGGAAUAGUCACGGGAAUUAAUCGGAAUUAACGGGAGCUUUGCAUGGCAUACACGAAUUCGUACUUAACUUUUUUUUUUUUUGUUUGUUGGAUUUUAGAUAUGGCUAGGGGGUUGGUUGCACCCGAUAUGGACCACCCGAACGGAACACCGGGGCAUAACCACAACAAUCUGAGUGUGCUGCAGCAGCAUUGUGCUUUCUUCGAUCAAGACGAUAAUGGGAUUGUUUUUCCAGGGGAGACUUAUGCUGGUAAAAUUUUUAAUUAAAUUAAAUUUCUUUUAUUGAGAGAUUCAAGAAUUAUGGUUUGUCGAUUUAAUUGUUGUAUGUAAUUUCUCAGGGCUUCGGCAAAUGGGGUUCAACAUCAUUGCUUCUCUUGUAUUAGCCAUCUUCAUUAAUGUAUUGCACGAAGGGGCAGCUUUUUGGUGAGGGACAUCGAUAGGAACUUGACCAAUCGGGUUACUGCGAGGGGCGUGGAUUUGUUUAAGGCGUCGGGUGUGAGUGUGCAGUAGGGUUGAUACUCUAUCUGUCGGUAGAAGAAUUCCCCUGCUCAAGGUACGUACCUCACUGUUUAUAAGUUGCUUUCUUGAAUAGGAAGAAUUAUUUACUUGCUCUGCUUCAAGAUCUAAUUUCUAGGAGAACGUGAUUAGAAGUGGUAAUUUAAGCAUGUUACUUCUCUAUAAUGUGUGGAUAAUGAUUAUCCCCGUUCAUUUCUGUUUAAGCUUUAACUGUGUUUUUUUAAUAAUGAAAGAUGGUAAAAAUUUCGGUUUAUGAUUCUUUGUGUAAAUUAUAAAUUGGGUAUGAAUAAAUUUUAGGCAAUAGGCUUCGUUUUAUAUGCAUCAUUUGGUUUGAUAGCAGUUUCUUCAUGUUAGAUAGUAGUUGUUGAUGUUGAUCGAUGUAAUGGAUUAUACGCCUCUUCUUUAUUUUAUUUUAUUUUAUUUUAUAUUGUGAACUUGUACUUGUUCGUAUUUAUAAUGCUUAUAUACUUAAACAUUUUUUUCAGGCACGCUUGGAAAUAGUUUAUGAUCAAGUGGAGAUAACUAAUGAUGAAUGGAUAAAAGAAUGUGGAUCAACUCCUUUAUGUAAUUCUACAAUAUUUUUCUUAUUUUUUGUAUUUUUUUAAACUUUAUUUGGAUGUAUUUGACCUUAAAUUACAAUUUUAAUGCGAUGUGUUAUUAUAUCUAAUAGUUAAUUGUGUUAUUAUAGUUGAUAAUUAAUUACAGGUUAAUUUCUAUAUUAUUAUUCAGCGAAAAAAAAUAAAACAAAAAAAUUGCAAUGUUCCUAGAAAAACGUCGCAAAUUAAUGAAUAAAUGUUGCGACGAAAAUAUUAAAAACGUAGCGAAUUGAGGGAUAAAUAGUUGCGACGAAAUAUUUUUUCGUCGCUAUUUGCUACAAAACGAAUAACCCAGAAAAACGAAUUAUUAUGACGAAAUAUGCAUUCGUCGCCAUAUGUUGCGACGAAAAAAUAGAUUCGUCGCAGGCUUAGCGACGACCGCUUUGGCGACGAUUUUUUGGCAGCGUUCGCGACGAUUGUUUUUCGUCGCAAUUAUUGAUAUUUCGUCGCAAAUACCAUAUUUUCGUCGCUAGUUUUCGUCGCUAGUUUUCGUCGCUAGUUUUCGUCGCCAGUAAAGAAAUUGUAGGCCUAUCGGGUUGGCCCAAUUAGUUAUAUCACAUAUUAACUUGUGCAUAUAUUCCGAUUGUCUUUAUUGAAGGAAUUAUACAUCGCAAACAAAUAUUUUCGUAACUAAUUGUACAAUUUGAUGUAACCAUAAUUUUGUUGAACUCAAUUUUAUGAUGUACUAUUUCUAGUUUACAAAGUUCCUUAUGGUGUACUAUUUCGUAAAAAAAAAUGUAAAAAUGAAGACACAUUGGAAACUUAAGCUCAUGAUCCCCAUCCCAACUCUCAUUGAUCAUUUCUACAUGUGAUAGUCAUAGAUUCCAACAAUCAUAAGAAGGAAAAAGGGGGGGGGGGGGGGGGGCAUAAAUAGCGUUAAUCCCUAUGGUCACAAACUUUUACAGAUGACCCUCUUGUGCUCGUAAUAUAAAAAUAUAUAACCCCUUUGUGAUAGAUAGGGGUAGCGUCCGUUAGUUUUUCCGUCAAACUUAACCGCGCGUGCCACACUUCAAGUGGUCGUCCCCAAAAAAAUAAAGGGAAAAUGUAAGCACAAGUCAGUCAUCUAAAAAAAUAUAGUAUUAUUUUGACGUUUGACAUGCGUAGUUAAUUUUAACGGGAAAACCAACGGACACUAAAACUAGUAACCACAAGAGUGUUAUGUGCUUAUAUUACGAGCACAGUGGGGUCAUCUGCAAAAACUUGAAAGCAGAGGGUUUAAAUGCUAUUUAACCAAAAAAAAAAAAGGGAAUAGAAACAUGAUUAUCUUGGGCUGGAUAAUUGUUCUGAUUGCUUUGGAGACUCUGGUAAUAGUAGAUCCAACUGCUCAUUGGAUCUCUUCAUUUAUUCUUCCUCAUUACAUACUAGAAAGUAUUCCCACUUUUGAGCCAACAAUAAGCCAUCUCCAAGUUCUAGCAUCAUCCUCACAAUAUCCGACAUAUUCGGACGUCUCUCCGGGUUUUCUUGUGUGCAGAGCAGAGCUAUUUUAAUCAUCUCCUCCACCUCUUCCUCAAUGUAAUAAUUAUUACCUCCAAUAUCAGGAUCAACAAUCUUCUCCCAUUUCUUCUGCACUAACAUUCUCUUUACCUAAGAAUAGAUAUUUAUACUAACAUAAGUUCAACAUAGACACACACACACACACAUAUGCAUGUUACAAGGCAAUUAUAUAUACAUAGGGUCUCACCCAAUCAAGUAACAUUAGAUCUUCGUCAUUGGCAAGCGUAGAAAUAUCUAAAGCUCUCUUCCCCGUGACGAGCUCAAGAAGAAACAUACCAUAACCAAAAACAUCACUUUUCUCCGAAAUCGUACCCUUGGAGACAUAUUCAGGAGCUAUAUGACCUAUUGUUCCUUGUACAACGUCCUCCACAUGAGUUACGCUGUGGUUCAUGUGUAUGGCCAACUCAAAGUGUCCUAUAAUUGCAUCAAAGUCCUCGUUCAAAUAUAUAUUUGCAGCUUUCACAUCGCGAAAUACGAUUUUCUGUUCACAGCCACCGUGCAAAUAGGCUAGACCCCUUGCAGCCCCGAAUACUAUAUGUUUUCUCACUUGCCAAUCAAGUGGAGGUUGUGACUCCGGUCGAUCUGCAAUAACACUACUUAAUUUCAAACAAAGUAUUAAUUAAUGGGCAUCUACUCUAUGAACACCCGUGCAGUCAAGGAUAUAUUACAUUUACUCUUGAGGUACGCUUCGUAUAAUAGUUUCCCCUAUAUGGCGUCAAUAACAACGGAAUCUUUUAGAUUCCAUGAAUGUUUCUCCAAAAAUACUCCAAUUUUACCCAUUUAACUAUCAAAUGUUUUUUUCAAAAAAAAAAAAAAAUAUCAAAUGUUUAACUAUAGGAUUUUUUUAGGGGAUUAAUUAUAAUAUUUCUAGAGAAUAUAAAAUACAGUUGAUUAUGAAUAUGGAUGGCGAAAUUUUUUUUUCUUACUUCAUUUGCUUUUUUUUUUUUAUCUCAAAUAUUAAUGGCUCGAGAAAUUACCUCUUAAGCAUGAUGCAACGCUUCCGUUGGCCAUGUAUGGAUGAACGAUCAUCUUUUCUUUUUGCGUAACGCAAAUACCAAUUACUCGGAGUAAAUUUGGAUGCGCGUUAACAAUGCUCAUCGUUUGCAAAUUUGCAGGUGAGAUGUCUCGUAACUGUUUAUAUCUUUUAAUCGCCACUAGAACGCCAUUUGCUAACCGGCCUUUGUAGGACAUGUUAAAUCCAUUUUU
rnacentral:lncRNA from 1 species